rnacentral:lncRNA from 1 species
CCAAGCAGAAAGCGAAAGAAAUUCUUCAGGUUAAGAUGAUGAAAACUGGAUUGGAAAAUGAGAUACAGGAGAAAAGGGUCAUGGUUGAGUCACUUAAGGCAACCAUAAAAGAUGCAGCAGAAACUGAAACAGAAUAUAGGUUGCUGAAAAUGAGAAGGAAUGAGCUGAGGGGUGAGCUGAUUAGUGGAAUCAAAGGCAUUGUGAGAAUGCGGGCAACGGAGAUGUUGCUGAUGGAGGAGCUCGAUUUGCUUUGAAGCAAAGAUAAAUAACCCUAUUCGAGAGUUCGAUAAAUAAAAAAAACUUACUACGCUUUUCCAGGAUUGAUGGAGAUUCGAGUAGGGCUUUAAAAAAAACAUACUAUAUAUAUGUUUGAUGUGAUUGCUUGCUUUGUCUCAGUUUGCUUUUGCCGUUUGUCUGAAAAACCGUUUGGUGGAAUGGCACUAUAAAUAAAACCUCUUUGCUUCGGCAUGUUUAACUUUAAAGAUUGUCCAGUGCUCAUAUACUCUGGGUUGGGCCUUAGUAACGCAAAUCCAAAAAACUUUGGACCAUUGGCUUGGCCGAGGAAGUUCUCUCUCUUCAAUGUACUGAGUAAGUAAGAAAAAUUCGGAGGAAUAUGACCCAAAUUCAAGAGUAUUUAACAUAGUAUUAUUUUAAAAUAAUAAGAAAAGUUUUUGAGGAUCUUUUCGGAUUGGGGCUUGAGCUUACAUUUGAUCAUUUAAUGAACAAGUUUAUAUUUGUUUCUAAUUUUUUUACAAAAGAAUUCAAAAUUUAAAAAAUAAAAAAUGCUAAUAUUUAAAUUUUAAAUUUAUUAAAUGUUAUUUUUUAAUAAUGAUAUAUCCGAAUAUAGUUAUGGAUGUGAAGCCGUGCCAAUGCUUAGCUGGGGUGGAUGCGUAGCUGAUUAUCUANNNNNNNNNNNNNNNNNNNNNNNNNNNNNNNNNNNNNNNNNNNNNNNNNNNNNNNNNNNNNNNNNNNNNNNNNNNNNNNNNNNNNNNNNNNNNNNNNNNNNNNNNNNNNNNNNNNNNNNNNNNNNNNNNNNNNNNNNNNNNNNNNNNNNNNNNNNNNNNNNNNNNNNNNNNNNNNNNNNNNNNNNNNNNNNNNNNNNNNNNNNNNNNNNNNNNNNNNNNNNNNNNNNNNNNNNNNNNNNNNNNNNNNNNNNNNNNNNNNNNNNNNNNNNNNNNNNNNNNNNNNNNNNNNNNNNNNNNNNNNNNNNNNNNNNNNNNNNNNNNNNNNNNNNNNNNNNNNNNNNNNNNNNNNNNNNNNNNNNNNNNNNNNNNNNNNNNNNNNNNNNNNNNNNNNNNNNNNNNNNNNNNNNNNNNNNNNNNNNNNNNNNNNNNNNNNNNNNNNNNNNNNNNNNNNNNNNNNNNNNNNNNNNNNNNNNNNNNNNNNNNNNNNNNNNNNNNNNNNNNNNNNNNNNNNNNNNNNNNNNNNNNNNNNNNNNNNNNNNNNNNNNNNNNNNNNNNNNNNNNNNNNNNNNNNNNNNNNNNNNNNNNNNNNNNNNNNNNNNNNNNNNNNNNNNNNNNNNNNNNNNNNNNNNNNNNNNNNNNNNNNNNNNNNNNNNNNNNNNNNNNNNNNNNNNNNNNNNNNNNNNNNNNNNNNNNNNNNNNNNNNNNNNNNNNNNNNNNNNNNNNNNNNNNNNNNNNNNNNNNNNNNNNNNNNNNNNNNNNNNNNNNNNNNNNNNNNNNNNNNNNNNNNNNNNNNNNNNNNNNNNNNNNNNNNNNNNNNNNNNNNNNNNNNNNNNNNNNNNNNNNNNNNNNNNNNNNNNNNNNNNNNNNNNNNNNNNNNNNNNNNNNNNNNNNNNNNNNNNNNNNNNNNNNNNNNNNNNNNNNNNNNNNNNNNNNNNNNNNNNNNNNNNNNNNNNNNNNNNNNNNNNNNNNNNNNNNNNNNNNNNNNNNNNNNNNNNNNNNNCUUCAAUUCCCUUGUUAGCUCACUUGAAUCCCAAACUGAAAAAAUAAUACGAAAAGAAAAUUUCGAUUUUGAUCAUGAGAAGAAUGAAAAGUUGUUAUAAAAUGAGUUUUAAUGAAUAUAUGUAUAGGCCUCAACCGAUGCUUGAAACGUCAUUUCAUCAAUGAAAAUUUCUUUUAUAAAGAAUCAUCAUUUUUAGGAUGAAAUAUCUUAUUCAAUAAACAUAUUUUUUAAAUUUUCAAAAAAGGCAAUCGAAUGCCCUAAAUGAACAAUCGGCUUCCCUAAUUAUAUUUUCAAACAGAUUGAAUAUCCUUCUUGGGAAUUCAAUUGCCUUGUCAGGGCAUCCAAUUGUCCAGUGCCAAAUUGUUAGGGCACCAGGUAGUUGACUCCCAUCAAAGAGCAAUCGACUCUUCGUUUUGUGUUUUAUUCAAAAGUCUAUUUCAACACUUCCAAAUAUUUAUUCUUGAACACAUAUAAAUACUACAUGAUUAUAAAAUAAUAUUUAAUAUAAUAUAAUUUUAAAAAAUACUUCUUUGAUAAUAUAUACAACAGAGUUUGAGUCGUUUACGUGCUCAACUCAAGUUAGGCUGAGGUAAGCCAAAGUCAGCUUAAGAGCACUAGCAACUUGCUAAGCUUUGUGGCUUACUGUCCUCCUCUUUCUAUAGAUUGUAAGUCUUCAAAAUUCUACUUAUUUUAUUUAAAUUCAAACUUAUUUUUUUUUCGUAAAAGAGCAAAGCACUGUUACAAAGGGAGAGGUCGGCUUGGUUUAAGUCCAAGCCUUCAUAUCUUUCUUAAGGUUUCUUUACCGUUAGGUUAAGAAAUAAAAGACAAAUUCAAACUUCAUUUAAUCGUUAAAAUGCGAGUUCUACUAUUAAAUAGAUCUUAGAAAUAAUUGAAAAUAUCCUAAUUUUGAAAAGAUGGUCAUUCAUAUGAGGAAUGCAUUUUUUGCAAUUUUCCUUUAUUCCAAAAAAAAAAAAAAAGGGAUUAAGUUGUUACAAUUAAUGAGAUUUGAGUUUUAAAUAAAAUAAUUAAAACUAAAUAAACAUUUGACUAAAUAAUUAAGGCAUAUAUUUUACUAUUAAUUCAACAGUCAAGUUUUUUUAAAAAAUACCCUCAUAAUUUUAAAAAAGUUGUCACUAUAAUUUAAAUUUUUAUUAUCAAAAUUUUUUAAGUUUGACCUCAUUUUAUUUUCAAUUUGGUAUUAAUUAAAAUGUAAAAAAUAGUUUUUUAGAAACUUUCGUUGAAGUAAUUUAUAUAUGUACCGAAAUUAAUUCACUAAAAAUAUUUAAAAUAAUUUUAAAUCAAAGUUGAAAAUUGUUAACCAGGAAAAAUCAACUAAUUAAGACUUUUAUAAAAUGGACGGAGUCAAAAAAAAAUGGAAAGAAACCAAUCGGAAGGACAGGACUAAAAUAAACAUUUUAAAUGCUAAGGUCCAACGAAUCACGUGAACCGCGAAAACCCACGUGCUCUGAUGUUACAUAAUCCGUGGAAACGUUGAGGCUAGGCCUGCGAAUUGAAUAUAAGUCCUGACAAAUCUGCAAAGCGAAAGGAAGCAUGCAAUUGUGUCUCGAGGAACUCUUCUUCCGGUAAUUGCUGAAACGAUAAGGCAAAAGUAUUAUUCUUUCAUCUUCUAAUAAUAUUUGAUAUUCUCCUUCAGUGUUAUUGUAUUUUGCUAUGACUGUUGUUCUGUUUCCAUGGGUCAUAAUUCUUGAAAAUAUCGUUCUCAGCUCACGGUUGAGCUGUUAUUCUUCCCAGCAAAUCAAGGAUGCAAUAUGAACAAAAAUGUUUAAAGAGAGAUGAAUUUGAUAUGACAGGAAGAAAAAGGGCAAAAGUAAUUUUCGAGGAAAAGUGAUGUUCUUUUGAAACCGGAAUAUUCACAAACUAGUCGACUGCUUGGAGGCUGUUGAUGUUAUUUCGCUAUAAAAACUUGAACAAAGAAAACCCCAAUAAAGCAAGUAGCUCAUGAAUUCCAUUUGCAUAAUAAAAAAAAAAAAAACACUGAUGGCUCGAUGUCCAGCCUGGGAGAGCUCAUCUUUGUUCGAUAGGGUUCCCAAAAUGAUAAUUAGCGAAUAAAAGUUGACAAAACGAAGCAAAAAAAAGAGUGGGUGGAAGCAUUCAUCGCCACCCAGCAGUCAACAGCUUCUGCACAAAACCAGAUGAGUAGUGAAAGAAAUAGAGGGAAAAAAAGAGAACCAUCGUACAAUUUAAAACAACUGCUAUAUGAAUAAGAGAUCAAGCCAAUAUUUUUACUGUUUUCCUCUUUGGAUUAUUUUUGAAGAUUUUUUAACUUUCAACGGUGCGUUUGCAAUUUCAUCCCCUUUUUUGUUUGACUUCUUUUUGCAGGGUAGAAGAGUGCUUUGAUUGUAGAUUACUAACCAGGUUUUACUAAGUAAUUGUUGUUAUUCCUCUUUAGUAGAAUUGAAAUCCCAGGUUCAAAUCCCACCUCUCCUUCUACAUCUCAUAUGUAGUUAAGGAAAAAGCUUUUGCUUAAUGGGCUUGCUUGCACUGCUGGCCCUCCUCCCUGUGAGACAAAGAGGGAAUUUGUUAAUUCAAAUAGUUGAUUUUUUUAAAAAUAAGUUCAAGCUUUGAGUUUUUGACGCUUUAUUGGGGUUAAUCCAUUUAGGUUAUUUGGUGUCGUCUUUUUUCUAAUUAUAUGAUAAAGAUAAAAUUUUAAUAUAAAUAAAAAAAUUGAUUUAAAAUCAAACUUUUAAUAUUUUUUUAAACUUCUUUAAUCAUUAAACUAAAACUGAAAACAUUUGAUGUCGUUUUUCGUUUGUUGAUGGAAUAGUUUGCAAUUUUUUUUCCUCCAAAGAAAAAAUAAGAAAGAGAAAAGGAAACCGUAAAGGCACAGUACUUCUCGAAUUCCUUGGCAUAAAACUGGAUAGUGCAAUAAAGAGGGAAUAAAUUUUCAUUCAUUGUAAAAUUAAAAAAAGUUUUAGCAUUAUUUUUUACAUUAUUUAUUUAAUAAUUUUAAAAUAAAGUGAUAAAUUCGAAAAUUAUAUUUUAAUUUUAUCUUUUAAAUUUGUUAAAAUUAAUAAUUAUAAAAAUUAUAAAAUUUUUUAAUUUAACACUAAUAUAAAUUAAAUAGUACUCUUCAAUUAAAACAAAGCGAACUGUGCAAGCAGCAUGUGAUGGGGCUAGACCAAUAGGGUGCUGGAAUGGCUGGACUUGCUUUAGGCAAAUAGCGACAAAAUAGGGCCCAGCGCUAGAUCUACACUAAUGGUUCACAUCGAAUGUAGUUUGAAUAUUCCAGUUAAAGUAUAAUAUUUUUGAAUUUUUUAAAUUUGAUUGGAAUAAGAACCCAAUCAAAUUUAUUCUGAAAUCAAAUUAACGUGAACUGAAUUUUAUUAUUUUAAAUUAGUUCAUCAAUUUUAAAAAUUAUAUUUUUAAAAAAUUUUACAAUUAUUUUUAUAUUAUUUUAAAUAAAUUUAAAUAUAAAAUAAUUAUUUUACAAUUGGCGAGGGCUGACCUAGCUUAAGCUAUUGCAAAUUGCAACGGCCAUAUUUUGUCCCCCUUUGUCGGCCUACAUUUAAUUUCUACUAUACACAUUUGAAUAUCUGACAACACUCCAAUCUGUGUGCAGGCUAUACGAGAACUUGGCAAGAAAAAGUCUUCGUCGUCGCUCGGAGUCAUGACAAAACUAGGUGAGUGUGAAAAGUUUCCUUCUCGGCUAAAAAAAUAAUAAAACAAUAAUUCAUGUUAUCAUAAAGCAAAAUAUCCAAAGAAAUAAUUAAAUAUAUUUUUUAUAAAUGCCAAAUUUUAUUCAUUGAAAAAAAGUACCAGACCUGCUGCAAGACAAACUGGCCGCCAAAAUUGCAGUUAGUCAAAAACAGAUAUUAAACUCUAUUAAUCCAUGUAACACUAAUUCUUUUUUGCUCGAAAGCAAUUGUGACAUAUGAACCCCAUUUCUUGUUUAUCCUUUGUUGGUCUCAAUUUUUGUUUUAAUCUCAUUUUUAGCAUUCAGCUUUUUUAAACUACUUUACUUAGACCUUUAAGUGUUUUCCAAAAUUUUUCUUAAAUACUUGUAAAUUUGUUACUUUUCAUCAAAAUUCUCUUUAAAUAAUCCAUUUAGUCUCAAUAUAUAAUAUAAUUUUUCAUAUAAAUAAUAAGUUUUAUUUUUUUUCUUUUAGUGAAGCUAUUUCCUUAUAUGCAAAUUUUAUGAUAGAAAAAAAGCACAAUAAUUAUUUUGAGUAAUUAUAAUGCAUAACAAAUGAAAAUGUAAUUAUAAUAUUCAACAUAAAACUAAAUUUUAGCUAUAUAUAUAAUUUACAAUGUUAUCAUGAACUAGGGAAAAAUCUAUUAAAAUUUUAAAUUAUAAAUUUGCUAUAAAGAAAUCAGGUAAUAAUUUAAAUAGAACGCAACUAUACAUAAAAAAAAAAAAAUCAGCGAGUUUGUGUUAAAAAAUUUUACAUGAUUUUAUAUUAAAAUUUCAAAUUAACUCAGGUGAUGUUUAGGCCGUUAGGGCCCCCUCCACGUCAAACUUUGGCUCUGUCCUUCGUCUGAUUUAAUAUGAAAAUUUUUUUUUCGCGAACUAUUAAAUAUGAAAUUGGAAGGCAUGUAGAACUAAUUUAAAACAAAGAAAGUAAACAACAAUUGUCUAUCUUUUUGUUUGACUUUUCAACAUUUAGUAUAUCCUUCUCAAACGAUUUAAAAAAAAAAAAAAGGAAAAAGCCAUAGAUAUCGGCAAAAAUUACUUACAGAAAUUUGUUGGAAGUUAUUGGUCUAACAAAUUCUUCACUCUAGCAAUUAUUUCUUCUAUCUCACUUAAAAUGUUAUUUGUUGGCCUCCCAAAUAAAAGGAAAAAGGAGAAGCAGCAGAUCAGUUGUUCGAAAAAAACUGUACAAAUCAAGCAUACAGGUAAAUAAGGUGUGAUUAAUUAUUGAUAGGUUAUAUAUAUAAUUUUAUAAAAAUAAGAAGUUUAUUUACGGUUUUGAAAAUUCUUUUGUCUGUUCAAGCAGAGAGCAAAAGAAACUCUUCGGGUUAAGAUGAUGAAAACUGGAUUGGCAAAUAUGAUAGAGGAGAAAAGGGUAAUGACGGAGUCACUAAUGGCAACCAAAAGGGAUGCCGCACAGACUGUGGCAAACUGUAGGUUGCUGAAUAAGAGAAUGAAUGAGCUUAGGGAUGAGCGGAUAAGUGGAAACAAUGACUUCGUGAGAUUGCAGGAGACUUUGGUGAAGUUGGAGCUGGGUCUCUUUGGAACAGCUGUUUGACAGUGUGAUGAAUACAAUUUACUGCUUUUCCUGGAGUGAUCGAGAUUCGAGUAGGCGUUAAUAAAACUUGUAUGAAUGUUUUUCUUGCUUUGGGGACGCUUGCUUGUUUUCAACUUUUUUUGGUAUUUGAGACAUCAGAAUUUGAUUUAAGACUUACCAACAGAUCACAUAUCUUGUUUUUUAGGUUGAUAUACCUUCCAUCCCAAAGCUUUUUGGUGUAAGUCCAAAUGGCACUCUGAAACCUCUUUGCUUGGGAUGUUUAAAUUUAAAGAUGGUCUCCGUAGAUGAAAACAAGUCGAAAAAAUUUAAAGAGCAAAUGUCAAUUAAUCAAGCAUUUGACACAGAUAUAUCGCUAAGCCAAAAAAGAAAAAAAAAUCAUAGCAAGAUAAUUUCCCACUCAGGCGUGUUCCUUGUUUGAAAUGCAUUUUCCUAUUUGAAGGCCUAAGGGUAUAAUCAAUCAUUUGCAUUUGACUAUUGUCUACCGGCGCUUGGGGUUAAGUCACAAACUGCUUGGGCUUGGCUUAUAACUUGGUUAAGCUAAUUGAGCCGAGCUUAAGUAGACUUUUCCCUUUUUUUAAAAAAAAAAGCUUAAGUGGACUUUUCAAAGCUGGAAUAGCUGUUGCUAGUUGAAGAUUAAAAAAAGUUGGACAAAGAAUAUAAAGUUUAAUUCAACAAAUUUAUUCAAUUAUUGUAAAAGAUAUUUAAUGAGUUUAGAUUCAAAUUUUAGUAUUUAUAUAUAUUUUUUAUUUCAAGUUACACCUAAGUAAAAAAUUAUAUUAUUUAAUAAUCCCUUCGUGCAAUGCCACUAUCCUAUAAAUAGAAUGAACCAAAUUCAGACCUCCGAUGUUAAAAGACUUCUUGAUUUGGGGGGCCAAUGGCCAUCCUAAGAGACUUCAUGGUUCAGAUACUGAGACACUCUUGGGAUGCAAUGGCUUAAUCGGCAGAAAACGGCAUCAAAUUCACCUUAAGUUAAUUUGGCAGUCAUUCAUGGUUGAUUUUCCAUUGUGUAAAUUAUAUAUUUUAUUUCUUCGUCCUUACAACUAGCUUGUAUGUUACAUCCCCUCUUUGCCAUUAGGAUAGGAAGAAUAAUCAUGACCGCUCCUUAGAAUAUUUAUCAACGGAAAGGUGGGGAGUAUUUCUCUCUAUGUUUUCGUUUUCUUUCCUACAUGUUUAGAGAGGAGUUUUUCUUAUUUUCUUGUCUAGUUAUGAAAAAUGAAGUUUGGUGUUAAUCUGGUUAGACAGUUAGAUAUCUUGAGCCUGCUGAGUCUCCCCGAUUUGGUUUCCAUCCUUUGGAUGAACCAUUCUGAUCAGUAAUGAACCCAGAACUGCUUUUUCCUUUUACCUUUUUUAUUGGCCGUUAGCAUAUAUAAUUCAUGUCUUCGUUGGCUACUUUGUUUUGGUAAGUAGUGGGAUUAUAUACCACUACAUUCCUCAGAAAUUUUAUGCCAUCUUUGGUUUUGAAUGAGAGAAUUAAACUUUUUUCAGCUUUAUCUGAAUAAUAAAAUUGAAUAACAACAACAAUAACAAUAAUAAUAAUAAUAAUGAUAUUUGAUCAUUAAUCCGAAAGUAUAUUAAAAAUUAUUUAUCAUUGAAGAAGAGAAAUAAUAAUGGCUAAGAUAAGACUUUUGUGAACUUAUCUUGUAAUUACUCCAAAUAGAUCCAAGAGUUGUUUUACUUCAAUUUUCUUACUAUUAUUUUUUUUCUUUUUUAUGUCAGUGUCAUGGAUGCCUCUGUGGUUAAAAUUUUGUCACCAUCUAGACUUUUUGUGAACUUUCUAAGUAUCAUCCAUGGGAUAAACCAGGAAUUGAUUUGCUUCAAUUUUCUUACUAUUAUUAUUUUUUUAAAUUCUAUGUCAAAAUUAUCGAGCUACAGCCUAUAGAUGAUUGUUCCUAUUUCUGUUUUAAAAUUGUGUUGAGGUGAUGUUUAUUAUAAUAUUAUUUUAUCUUUUGAAAUUGCUUCAAUCGUUCGAUAUUGGUGACUUUCGUAAGUUUUCCACUCGAUAAACCAAAAUUAUUCGGCUAGAUAUGUGAUGUUACCAAUUUCUUUCUUCGUUUUCUAUUUCAAAGUCGUCGGUGCCAUUGUUGAUUGUUACUUUUUCUAUUUUAAAUUUAUGUCUAGACGACGUUUAUUACUACGUUAGUUUCAUCUUCUACAAUUUCAAUAUUGAUCGCACUAGCAGUAUCUCGGUUUUGGUUAAAUUUUGUGAAUUAUCACUCGAUAACCAAAAUUAUAUGUGUAGAUACGAUGUUAGAAUUUUUCUUUUUGGGGCAAUAAAGAAAACAAGAAUGGUCAUGCUUCAAUUUUCUUACCAACUCCUCUUUUUUUUUUUUUGUUGUUGUUUUAUAUGUCAAAGUUAUCGGGUUACAGAUGACUGACACCUUUUAUUCUAAAAUUCUGCUGAAGUGAUGUUUAUUUCAUAGAUGACCUGUAAAGGCAAUAUACACCCAGGACCCAGCUAUCUUCGCGAGCGAACGCUCGAUUUUGGCUUAUCUUACCAGCAUUGAUCUGUUGACAGACGAUCGUUAAAGGUGAUGUAGGUGCUCUAUUUAGUCUAUCAUAGUACGCUGGUUUUUUUUUCCCCCUCUAUUUGAGUUUAUUUAAAAUUUCUUUUGGACAGUCUUUAUUUCAGUUGUCGAAUUUUGCAAGAAGUCAACAGAUUCUGUAGGCCAAUGGUGGUGUGUUUUGACUAACGACAAAUAGUUUUAUCAUUUGAUUUUAGGCAAGCAACUUUUUCAACAAAUAAAUUCUAGUAAAUUCAAUAAAAUCGACAAGAGUAGAAACGGCAAAGAGCUGCUACAUAGCUCAGUUAAAAGGACACAAAACAUCUUUAAAACAUACGAUAUCUUACAAAACCAACUUUAACUCCCAAGCCUUAAAGAUUGGACAUCAAGUGAACGAACCAAGGUUCAGUUUCUAUCUAGCAGCUAGUUAUUUUCACACGAGUUUGGCCCGGCUCUAACCAUGUUUUGGACAUGAGUUUUAGAUUUCGGACAUAAAGAGCGACUUUCUCUCGAAGUUUAUUUCUCAUAUUCUUUUCCUAAAACUAGAUUAGAUGACUUCCUUAAUCCUUAAAAGUUCAUCAAACUAUACUUACCUCUGUAUUGUGGAAUGAUGCUUCUUCUUCGCAUCCAAGCUGCCUUUUUCAGGUUUUCAGCUUAGAUGAAUCAUUAUUUUUUAUUUUUUACUUUUUUCUCAUUUUUUUAAGUAAAAUAUUUCUUCACAACAUCUGAAUUUAUUGGAGUAGGUAAAUCACUUCUGUCUAUCUCUGCCAAAAUUAAUGCCCAACCAGAAAAAGCUUUUUUCAUCAUAUAUGGGUCUUUCCAAUUUGGUGUCUAUUUUCUUCGAUUAUCAUGUAGAUUUGGAAGGAUCUUUUUUAGUACCAAAUCUCUUUUCUUAAAGCAACAGGGAUGAAUUUCUUGUCAUGUGCUCUCAUCAUCCUCUUUUGAUAUAAUUACUCAUGACAAAGUGCUGUAAGUCUUUUCUCUUCAAUGAAGUUUAAUUGCUCGUAGCGAUUUCGAACCCAUUCUGCUUCUUCUAAUUCUACGUCCAUCAGGACUCUCAGUGAGGGAAUUUUCACUUCAACUGGUAGCAUAGCUUCCAUUCUAUAUACCAAAGAGAAUGGGGUGGCCCCAAUAGAUGUUCGGAUUGAUGUUCUAUAAGCAUGCAAAGCAAAAAUGUAACUUCUCAUGCCAAUCUUUAUAAGUAUCAGUCAUUUUCUUCAGGAUUCUUUUGAUAUUCUUGUUUGCAGCCUCUACUACCCAUUCAUCUUUGGACGAUAUGGUGCCGAAUUAUGGUGACGAAUCUUGAAACUGAGUGCAAACUUCAUUCAUCAUUUUGCUAUUCAAAUUUUUGGCAUUAUCAGAAAUAAUUAUCUCUGGAAGCCCAUAUCUGCAUAUUAUCUCCCUUUUUAUGAAUUUGCAUACCACAGAUCGGGUCACACUAGCGUAUGAUGCGGCUUCUACCCAUUUUGUGAAGUAAUUAAUCAUCACAAAAAUGAAUCUAUAUCCAUUUAAAGCUUUUGGAGUGAUGGGACCGAUGACAUCCAUACCCCACAUAGAGAAUGGCCUUAGAAAAGCCAAAACAUGUAAUGCUAUUGGAAGAGUGUAGAUCUUGUCAACAUAGAUCUGACACUUAUGGUAUUUUCUGGCAUAAUCAAUACAGUCACUCUCCAUUGUCAACCAAUAGUACCCAGCCUUCAUAAUUUGUCUAGCCAUUAUAUGACCAUUUGUAUGUGCCCCACAAACUCCAUCAUGCACUUCUUCAAUAAUCCUCUUCGCUUCAGCUACAUUCACACACCUUAAAAGUACUUGAUCUCGACCCUUUUUAUAGAGGACGUCUCCAUCAAGAAAGAAACUUAUAGCCAACCUUCUAAUAGUUCUCUUAUCAUUUUCUGUUACAUGUUCCGGGUAUUGCUAGCUUUUAAUGUAUUGCAUGAUGUCAUGAUACCAUGGUUUCCUAUCAACUUCUUCUUCAACACCUGAACAAUGUGUUGGUUCAUCCUUCACAUCCAGCUUGAUGAGUUGGAUUUUAGUAUUUGCAUAUAUUUUAAUCAUUGCAGCUAGAGUAGCUAGUGCAUCAGUAAUUUGGUUUUUCUUUCUAGACAAAUGCUCAAAUUGAACUUCUUCGAAUUGUUUGACCAACUGAAAGUGUACUUAUGGUACCGUAUCAACUUGAAAUCUUUGUUUUCCCAUUCUUCUCGCAACUGAUAGAUGACUAGAGCUAAAUCUCUAAACGCUCGAUCUGGUUGGUUCAGCGGUUCGAUACCGACUAGGUUUGGGUUCAGCGAUUCAGCUACAGUUCAGUCAGACUAGUCAGAGGCUGAUGAAGAAGAGAGUUGCGGGUCGGACGCGCUGACCUCAAGUUGGGUUACGAUUGAUGCGUGGAUCCUAGGUGCUUAAAACGAUAUCAUUUUGGGUGUUUAUUGAAACGACGUCAUUUUGGCUAUUAACAACAGUUUAUAUAAAAGCUCAAAAAAAAUUUUUGGUCAUUUCUUCCUUUCUGUCGAAAAAAAACCUUCUUUUUUUCUCUUUUUUUUCAGUCGACUUGGGACCGGUGACUGUCCGUCGUGACAACCGUUGCAAUCCUUGCUGGCGACGAGCUCAUGCCAUCAUCGUCGAUGCCAAAAAAUUCUAAAAAAUACCCAAAAACUCCUUUCGACCUCCUAAAUACAAAUCCGACCUCCUUUUCACCAAAAAGAUUUUUCACGUCCCUAGAUCUGCUUUCAAAGUUUUGGUAAAAUUUUUUUUUGAAAUUGACUUUUUUUUCUUCUUUGUGCAGAAGCUCGGCACUGGGUUCUUCCUUACGGGGAAGACUGUUGAUUUUUUUUUUAGGUUUUUUUUUGGCAAAAUCUAUUUCAUUUUUUUUUUACUCAUUUUAUUUUUUGAUCAGCCAGGAGUUCUAUAAAAUAGAGCUCCGAUAGUGCCCUGUGCCUAAGGGAAUGGCACAGGGCAAGGCAUAGGGGUGCAAGCACGACCACCAUGCCUCUUUUAUUUUUUUUGGCAACAUCUGACAGUGGUAGGGUUAGGUGAUCAGAGAGGUGGGGGUAGGGCAUGGUGGCAGUGGUGCCGAGGAAGGCACCACUGCCAUCCUCGAUUUUUUCUUUUUGUUUUAUUUUAUUAUUAUUUUUUAUAUUUUUUUGGUAUUUUAUAUUAUUUUUGAUAUUAUUUUUGUAUUUUAUAUUUUGUAUUUAAUAAUAAUAUUAUUAUUUUUUGGGACAAAUUUGAUGUCCACAGUUAUCAUAACAAAUGGGACUAACACAAUAAUUGUCAUGGAAAAUUAGGAUUUGUAAUAAAAAUAAAUGUUUAAUAGUGUAGACAUCAAAUUUUAUUCCGAAUUUACUAAAUUAAUUUUUGUUUUCAAGUUUUGUUUAUUAAUAUUUUUUACAUUAUUAUAAAAAUAUAAUAACUAAAAAAACAACAAAAAAAAAUAAAAAACUGGGGUGGCAGUGGUGCCUUAAACGACAACACUGGCCACCCACCCCUCUGGUCACCCAUACCCUGCCAACACUGCCACUCUUGUCCUGUCCCCUUACUAUACCCUGCAAACCUUGUUCACCUCCUGUUUAUCAAAGCCAAAGCCUUAAACACUCAGAAGGUCAGCCCCUUUAAGGCACCAAACCUCUCCUACCAGAUAGACUACCCUUGAUCCCCUUGAGCCUCUGUGUUUUACCCUCAUGCACUGAUGCCCAUUUUUCUUUCACUCGGACACAGAUUGCAAUCCUUCUCCCCUCAAUUACACUGCCAUCGAAUACCCUGAAACUUCAAGUCUCUCUCACCUAGGAACCUUAAACUCUCACACCCAAAUGAUCCAGCCCCUACAUGCCCAGAAAAGCAGGCCUCCACGCACUCUCCCAAGUAUUGAUCUCAACCAUUCCCCCCUACGCUAACCCCUCGCCGAGCCACCCCCAUCCCAAUAUUCCUACACCAAGUCUUUUAACCUCUCAAACCUACCCUCCAACAACAAACGAACCAAAAAAAGAAAAAAAAACACCAAAAAUCCAUUAAAAAAAAAAGAGAAAACAACAAACAUAGUCCUUACUGAUUUGGCAAGGAACCUAAUGCCAAAAGCUACCUACAAAAAAAAAAUAAACACAUGAGUUUUAGUUUACAAAAAAAAAAACUUCAAACCUCGAUCCACGUCGAUCGGGGUUGUUCCAGGAGAAAAAAAGACUAGAUCGAAGUUCAAGAGGCUAGGGUGAGCUUUCUGGCAAAUUUAAAAAAAUUUUGAUGAUCAGAUCGACAGUCAAUGUGUGCCAAUAGUAGAGCAAACGACGGCUAGUGUUACCGUCGAUGAUUACCAAAAAGCCUUGCCUCGUUUUAAAGAAAGAAGCUCUAUCUCUUAGAAAGAGAGAGAGUUCUGAAAAAUGAACCAAAAUUUUUUUUUUUAGGAUUUUAUAGAAAAAAAUAAAAAGGGAAAAAUGACAUCGUUUACGAAGAAGCAAAACGACACCAUUUUGGAUCACAGAAAGAUCCGCAUGUUGGCCUUAACCUGACCUGGGGUCUGCGUGACUCGACCCAGUGACCCAUCCUUUAACCAACCCUGAAUCAGUUCAACUGAACCUCCCCUCAUCGGGUCAAUUGGACCAAACCUCUGAACCAUCCAAACCAGCUAAACCAAUGUUGACCGAAGUGUUGAUCGAUCCGGUUCAGAUAUUUUUUUAUAUUAUUAUUUUUAUUAUUUUUAGUUUUAUUUUUAAUAGUCAUGCAUGAUAAAUUUUUUAAAUUUGUUAAAAUAAAUAUUCGUUUGUUUUUAAUAAUAAUAAAAUGAAAUAAAAGUAAGAUAAUAACUAUAAAAAAUAAAAAAUGCUUAAAAAUAAUAAUAAUGUAAAAAUAAUAAUAAUAAAACUUUUCCCUAUCUAGUUGUUGGAAGGAAUAUAAUCGUAAUUUAAAUAAUGAUAAUUUCGCCUAGAUGUUGGGAAAUUAUUAUUAAAAAAAAUUAAUAUUAACUCUUUAUAAUAAAAAAGUUAAUUUUUAAAAAUCAUAAAAAUAAAAUUUGUUCCGAAAGUCUACCUAAAUGUUGAAAAUUUUUAAAGAUGUUCGCGUUUUCUUUAACCCUAAAAUUGAAACCCUAAAAUCAAAUACCUAAACCUUCCAAACCUUAAAAAUUAAACCAUAAACCCUAUAAACCCUAAAAUCAAAACUCCAAACCUCCAAGCCCUAAAAUUAAAAUCCCAAACCUCCAAACCCUAAAAUUAAACAUCAAAAUCUUAAACCCUAAAAUCCAAAAUCUCAAACUCUAAAAUCCAAAACCUUAAAAUUUAAAUUCCUAAAAACCCUAAACUUAGCACACAAUCCCUAAUCAUUACCUAAAAAUUAUAUUGGCCUUAAAAUCUCAACCAAAACCUAUACCCUAAAUUUAUUUCAAAACUUCAAGGAUACAUGUGAAAAUUUCACAUGAAAUGAUUUGUUCCUGAACGCCAUCCAGAUGAUGAGGUAUUUAGGAAACUUUAUUUCAUUAAGUUUUUCAUACGAAUCCUUAAUUCACAUUAAUAAUGAGAUUAUUAAAUAAAAAGUACUAAUAAAAAUGAGAUUUUAAGUAUAAACAGUCGCACCUAAGCUCUAUCUAGAUGUUGGAGAGUCGAGGUGAUCUCAUUAUACUUAAGAACCCAACUUUAAAAUUGCAUUUCAUCCUACAUAACAUUCAUUGGCAUACAUACGUUAGUGUGUUAUCAUUGGUAAUUAUCUGCAUUCUUCUGUUUUUAAUUUUUAUUUACUAUUUAAUGAUAUAAUGUUUAUAAUAAAAAAGGGACAAUACAUUUUUUUUAAAAAAAUAUGAUAUUAUAAAAUAAAACAAAAAUAACAUUUCGAAUGAAAUAAUUCUUGGUACUCUGACUAGAUGUUAGAGAGUUACCAAUAAUUAUCUUUCAUAAAGAGUGUUAUUUCAUUUUAAGGAUUAUUGUGUUAAAUCUUAAGCGAAAAAAGUUAUUUUAAAUUAUGCCUAGAUGUUGAAGAAUUUUAAAACAAUUCUUUAACUUAAAGAUUUUUCCAAUAUUCCUAAAUAAAGAGUUUUAGCAAAAUUUUAUUUUUUAUGAAAGGGAUUAUUAUUAAAUUUCAAAUUAAAAUUAUUUUAUCUAGUAUCGAAAAUAGUGCAUAAUUAAAUGGUACCAAUUUAUCGGCAUUGUAGGGGUGCUAAUCAUUUCCACAUAUAACUGACUCUCGAGCUCAACCUGAUUUUUUGUAGAUCAAAAUUUAUCUUUUUGAUAAACUUUGAACCCGCUUUUGUAGUUUUAUUUGAAAGAUAAACUUUUGGGUGGUUAAUCAUACUCUAAAAAAGAUUGGUGACGACUUCUCCUAUUUUCUCGAUUUUAAAAUUUUUUUAUGGUUGGUGGUCCCAAAAUCGUUAUGACAAAUACAGUUACCUAUAUACUUAAAAAAAAAGUUUGAUCCAACUUGUAGAUACCCAUUUGUCUAGUCUUCUUUCAAUCUAAAUAUCAUUUUUUUAUUAUUAUUAUUAUUAUUAUUAUUAUUAUUAUUAUUAUUAUUAUUAUUAUUAUUAUUAUUAUUAUUAUUAUUAUUAUUAUUGUAGAUACUAAAUUUAUUUAGAUUUUAAUUAAGAGUUCUCGGAUUCUCGGGUCGAGACCUGAUUUUAAUUUAAUUAGGUAUCAAGCUUAAUUUCAAUUCAAUUGGGCUCGAAGUCUAAUUUCGAUCGAGCCCGAAGCCUAUUUUGUUAUUUAGGCCCAACUUACCUUUUAUUUUAUUUUAUUUUCUUUAUUUUAUUAAACAAAUACACAAAAAAAUGAAAAAGAAAAAAAAAAGCAGAAGACUAUAAAUGAAGGAAAAAACAAAAGAAGAUAGGGGCUGGUGCUUGCUGCUGUGCACGGCACCAUUGGCAUCGCCCACCCACGCUAGGCCUUAUGCCACCUGUUCAGGCACAGAGCCAAUAUUAGAUAAUAUAGAAUGAGUUUAGUAUCAUAUCCUUUAAUAAAUAUAGACGAAGAGGAAAAAAAUCAAACAAGAGUAUUGAAUAUGAUUUGUCUGAGUUUUAUAUAAGAUUUUUUUUAAUUUUCUCACUAAUUUAUGAUUAUUUUUUAAUUAAUCAUACAUUGUUAAUAAUAAUUAUUUGAUUUGUUGAUAAAAUAUUUGAAUUCUUUAAUUUUAAUAGCUACAAUCUAAUUUUUAAUAACUAAAAUUUAAUUUUUAACAGUUUCAAAUAUAUAUAAACUACAUAUAUAUUUCUUAUAUAUUAAAUAUUAACAACUUUUUUUUGUCUUUUAAUUACAUUAGUGAACUAAUGAAUAAUUGUUAUUAAUUGUUGUUAUCAUAACAAAUGGAAUUAACGCAAUAAUUGCUAUGAAAAAUUAGGAUUUGUAAUAAAAGUAAAUGUUUAAUACAAUUACCAAUAUACUUAAAAAAGUUUGAUCCAACUUGUAGACACCCAUUUGUCCAGUCUCAUUUCAAUCUAAAUAUUAUUAUUAUAUUAUUAUUGUUGUUGUUGUUGUUAUAUCUUCAUUUUUUUUAUUGUUUUGACAUCCCUUUGAUUUUCUUUUUAUUUUUCCCUAAAGUUCUAAGAGCAUUAAAUGCAUCAAAUUUCAUCCUCUUCUGCCUGACACUAGCUAAUUUUUAUAGUAUGAAAUUCAGUGAUCAAAAGUCACUGGAUAAGUUUUUUCUCAAAGAAACCCAAAAAAUUCGCAAAAUGAUCUUAGAAAAUCUGGGAUUUGAAUCCCAUAAACUCUAUAAAUAGAGCUAAUUCUUGCAAAAUAAAAAUAGAGGAACUUAGGAGAAUACUGUAAAAAAAACAUGGGUAAAAAGACAAAAAACAAUAUUUUGAGAGAGAGCUAGUGGGUUAUGGCAAAAAAAAAAAUACACAGGCAUUUAAAAAAAACACACCACAGUCCUUCUAAAGAAAGAACCAUUAGCAAAAAAAAAAAAAAAUCCUAAAACAAAAAAAAAACUUAGACCAUUUUUCUUUGAUUUAUAAGUUUGGAAAUUUUUUUUUGAAGAAACUAGUUUGGGAUAAGUGUUUAGAAGACAAAAAAGAUUAAAUUUGGAAUUUUUAAAAAAAUUUUUGAGUCGCCAAAAUCUAAACAAUUUUUAAUUUUUUAGUGAUCAGAUGAAUUUUCUAGCCAUUGGAAUUUAGGUAUCUCGUCGUGAUCUAGAAAUUUUUAAAAUUUUUCGAUACUGUUGAAGAUUCUAACCAUUGGUGCAAGGUGGUAACUAGUCAAAAUCUAGUAAUAAUGGCUGUCAACGAAUGGAAAAAACUUUUAAAGGGGGAGGCUCUAAAAGAUAGAGAGAAAGAGAAGAGAAAGAAAAAUAAAAAAAUAUAUACAAUUUUAGGCAUCUGGAUCCACGCUCGGCCCACAUCUCGACCAGCACCUCGACACACGCCUGACCCAACCUAUUUGGCAAGUUUUCCCUUAUUUUUUUUUAUUUUUUGUUUUGAUUUUGUUGUCUUUAUUUUGUUGAUUUUUUUGUUAUGUUUUAUGAUAUUAUUGUUAUUAUUAUUAUUAUGAUCAUUAUUUUAUGUUAUUACUAAUAUUCAUUCUUUUAUAAAUAAGUAAAAAAAUUAAAAUAGAAUUAAAAAAAUUGUGGAUUUGGUAAAAUAAAAAAAUAUGCUUAAAUCCUUAAAAAUAAGUAUUUAAGAAAAAUUAAAAUUUUGAUACAAGCAAAAUAUUGCUUAAAAUUUACCAAAGUGUUGAAAUAAUUUAAGAAAUAAUUUUUGCUAAAAAAUAAAAAAAUAAAAAUAAUGAUUGUUUAAAUACAUCUUUUAAAUGUAAUUUUUUAAAGAAAACUGAAAUAGUUUGGUUUUUUUAAUUAUUUCAAAUAAAAAUAACUUUUCGGAUUUCACCAAAGAGUUAGAAUAAUCUAAAAUUAUUUUUAUUAUAAUAAAAGUUUAUUUAAACAAUAUAAAAUAAUAAAUAAAAAAAUAAAAAAAUAAUAGUCGAUUAUUUGAAUAAAUAUUCUAAAAAUGAAAAUUUUAAAGAAAAUUGGAAGAGUUUAAUUUUCUUAAUGCAAGAAUAUUUUUAGAUUAUGACAGUAAAUAAAUCUCUUAAUUAUUAUCAAUAUAUUUGGGAUUUUAUCAAAGGGUUGGGAUAAUUAAAAAAAACCCAAAAAAUUACUUUUUUACUAAAUAAAGAUUUAUUUAAAUAAUAAAAAAAGAUGAAAAUAAUAAAUAAUAAAUAAUAACAAAAAACAUAAAAAAUCACAAUGAAAAUUAAUUAAAUAUUUAAUUUAAUCUCUUAAUUAGCAUCAAUAGAAAAUAGUUUUAUUUAGGAUAUCAUCAGAAAGUUGAGAUAAUCCUAAAAUUUGCUUAAAAGUUUUUAGAUUUUUCAAAAAAUCAAGAUAAUUCUAAAAUUAGUAUAAUAAAAUUUUGAGAUUUCACUAAAAAGUCAAGAUAAUCUUAAAAUUAAUUUAAUAAAUAAACAAAAUAUUUUAUGAUAAAAUUUAAAAAAUUUUGUGAAUGGUCGAUUUUUUCAAAAUUUUCUUUAAAUAAAAUUUUUUAUAAAUUUUACUAAAGCAUUGAAGAAUUUAUAUAAUGCAAAAUAAUUAUAAUACUAAUUUCACAACAAAAGAUGUUUUUUGAAAUAAAUUUUAGAAAAUUAAAUUUAAGUAUAAAAAAAUUCAUAUCAUCAAAAUUUAAUUGAUACCAUUCUUUAAACAAGUGAUUUUAGGGUGUUAAUGCCUUUCUUUCUCACAAUCAUACUCUAAAAUCUAAUCUUGAUUUUGUAGACUUAAAAUAUUUUUUAAUAAAUCUCAAUUAAUUUUAAAAUUUUUAUUAAAAAAUGAUAUUUUUAAGUGAUCAAACAAAAAAAUUGAUGAUAACUUUAAAAAUUUUUCAUUAAAUUUAACAAUCGAAUUUACCUGAUGAAAAUUGUAACUUACCUUGGUAAUUGGUUGCUUGAUUGGUUAGUAUUUUUUGCGGCCUCUUUUAUUAAUUUGUACCAAAGGUAGUCCUUUUCCUAUUUACAUACCCCGAACCACCCCAAAAAAAAAGGUAAAUUAUAAAUAAAAACAAAGAGAGAGGAAGCCAGGGUGUGAACCGGAAACGAGCCGAGGUAAAUUACCAGCCUUUGUCUUGGUCGUCCUUUUCCUAUACGAAAGCGUCAGGAAGUUGCCCUUUUCCCAAAUGAGUUUGCCAAAGUUACCCUUAACUAUCCUCAAACCUUCUAUCCCAUUUUUUGCUAAGUUGCAUAUCUCCUAUUCCUUCCAUCUGCCCUUCCUCCUCUAAACCUCUCAAAAAUUUUAUGUUUCCUUCGUUUCACACGGCCCUCCUUAUUUGAUUCUCAAUUUUUCAAUUUCAUUCUCACUUGGAGACGAGUGAGAACUAAAUUGAAGAGGUUAAGAUCAAAUUAAAAGAAGAAAUUAGAGAGCCGUGGGAGCAUUCCUCCUCUAUUUAUAGAUUGCUUAAAAAAGCACUUGGUACAAUCGACGAAAAAGGGUAAGUGAAAAUUUUGUUAAUUUAAUAAUUAUAGGGUAAUUAUAAAUUUUAACUAUUAAAUUAAUACUUUUUUUAUUUUUAUCUAUUUCCAUCUUUAUUACAAGGUAAAACUUAAAGCUUCUGAUUAUGCAGGUUAUAUGGCAACUGUUUGUUUGCGUUUUCAGUUACAAUUAAUAUUUUGUGUUGUUGCUUCAUACAGGACUGAAGGAAGGUUGGACCAAAAAACCAGCUUAAAUUAAGUUAUCUAAUUUAAAAUUGCAGUAAUUUUUUUGGUAAUUAAUGAUUGGCUUAUAAUAUUUUAUUUAAUGCUUAAAUUUAAAUUAAGUUUGUACUUAUAUAUGUAUAUAUAGUUAUUAUUUAAUACAUUAUUACUAAAUUUUUUUAGUUUUAUGAGCAAUAUUAAAAAUUGACAUAUAUUUUAUUUUAUUAAUAUAUCUUAAAAGAAAUGUAUCAUUCUAUUAAUCGAUAAUUUCUCUCUCUCUCUCUCUCUCUAUAUAUAUAUAUAUAUAUAUCCUAGUUCUUUUGUUCGAAUAUGUUUUUUUUUUUUUAGAUUGUAUGUAAUUUUUGUUAUUUUUUUAAAUCUAUCUUUUUAUUUUAUAGUAUUCAUUUUUUAUAAUAUAUUUUUAUACUUGAUUAUUUGUUUAUUUAUGCUUUUUUUUAGAUUAUAUCUAAUUCUUGUUAUUUUUCAUUUUAAAGCAUCUAUGUUUAUAUUUUAUAGUAUUAAUUUAUUAUAAUAUAUUUUUAUAUUUGAUUCUCGACAUUACUAAUUGUUAAACAAUUAAAAUUUGUCAAUAUGUAAUAUAUUAAUUAACAACCAAAGGUUUUUUUUAUUAUUAUUGUCAUUUUGAAGUAAGAUUAAUGUAAUCCCAAAUUUCAAGGCAGAUGAUCCAUCCACUUAUUUGGAAUGUUGGAUUUACUUGCAACAUUUGUAUUUCCUCUCUCGAAUCUCAACAUAUAAAAAAGUAGUGCUUGGUUAAUAUAUAUAUAUAUAUAUAUAUAUACUUUUUUACAUAUCUUUUUAAUAAAAAUAUAAUAAUAUAUUUUGUUAUUGUGUUUGAAAUUAAACAGAAAAUGUAAUUUAGAUAACUUUUCGAUGCAGAUUGUAAAUCACACCAAUCAAACUAAAAAAAUAAAAUUAAAUUUCUACUAAGCCACAGGAGAGUAAAAAAUAAAUAAAAAAUUUAUUGAAAAUUUGAAUUUCUACUAUAUACAUUUAGGGAUAUAAACGAACAAAGCUCUAUUCAUAAAUAUGUUUUGUUCAUUUAUAUUUAUUUAUUAAGCUUAAUAAAUCAUCUUGAAUAAUAAUUUUAUAUUCAUUUGUUAAAUAAAACAUUAUUAAAAAGAGAUUUGUUCAAUUCAUUUAUAUUAACGAAUAAGCUUGUUUAAUAUUUGUAAAUAAAUUUAAUUUUUUUGUAAUAUAUUAAAAAUUUAUUUUUAAGAUUUAAUAUCUUUUAUCAAUUUAUAAAUUAUCAUAUAAAAUUUAUAUCAUUAAAAAUUAUGACAUAAAUAAAUUAAUUUUUAAUAUUUUUAAAAUAUUAUUAUUAAAUAACUUUUUUUACAUCAAUAAAAGUUGGAUAAUAACUUUGACCGAAGUUUAAAAGAAUAAAAACCUAUUUUUAACAAUCCCAUAUCGAUAAAAAAUCAAAAAAUCAAAAUAAAAGAUGGAUAAAUUUUAUAAAUUUCCAUCCUCAACACUUGUGCCAACACAAUGAAUAUAGCGUUGUUCAACGGUCGUAACAAAUGAUGGGUAAAGAGCAUACGGUAAUGCCUUUUACUUUUGCUGUACAUCUUGAAUCCCACAUAUCUCAACAAAGAAAAGAAGGGAAAGUUAAAGCCCAUAAAUUCCCAUUUGUAUAACCUGAGCUUCCUCUCGCAUAAAUUAAAGAAUCUGACGUAGCUUAACAUUAAGAAAAAAGAACAGGUAAAACCUAUAAAAUCCCACACUCUUCCACUACACCACGCAUUUGUGCAUAAACUCACGAGAAGAAAGGGUAGGUAAAGCGUAUAAAAUCCCAAUGCUCAUCGCUGCAUCUAUGUGCAUAAACAAAUGAAUCCCACAUGGCUUAGGAACUAAAACAAGUGAUGGGUAAAGCCUAUAUAUUUCCAUUCAAGGCAUUUUUUUAUUUAAAUGAAUACCACAUCACUUGAGAAUGAAAAUAAGAAAUGGGCAAAGCUUAUAAAUUCACACCCUCCUUUCGUCACUGCGGUGCCAACAAGUGGUGGGUGUUGUAGAUGUGUAAGAGUGGGGCUUUAAUACCCGUUAAGGCUGAGUAAUCGUUAAUCUGAGAGAUCGGUUGUAGCUAAAGGGAACCAAGACCUGAGUUUGGUCACUAACAAGGAGCGAGUAGGCUUGGGGUUAUAAAGAACAGAAAUCUGAAUUGGUUAUGGAUAAUCGGGGUUUAUGAGUGGAACCAUGACUAAAGUUGGUUGUAACGGGUAAAAAGUCGAAAUACUGGGAUGUAAAGCAAGUACGGGGCAGGAGGAGGGAGUAGGUCUAAAUAUUGGAACAAAACUUGAUCUAGAUUUUGUUCGGCUGGAUAUGUAUUUUCAGCUGGAUGAGAAUUUGUUCAUCUAGUACCAACCGAACUGAAUUUGAACAAGCUAAUACUCGACAUUUACAGCACCAAUAUAUAUAUUGGACGGUUCUCCAAUCUGCUUGCAGGAUAUACGAGGAAACUUGCAUGAAAAACGCUUCGGCGUCACUCAGCGUUAUGGCAAGUCUCGGUGAGUGUGAAAAGUUUCCCUAUUUGCUAAAAAAUAUACUAAAAUAAAAAUUAGUCUUAUGAUAAAGUUAAAUAUCCAAAAAAUAAGUUCAGAUGUACUUUUUUUUUUUUAUAGAUGUCAAAUUUUAUUUCCUAAAAAAGUUGUCAGCAAAAUCUAAUGAAAAAAUAUUAUUCUUUUCGUUUCAUAUUAUUUGGUAUGUACUGAUUUUUACAAAAUUUAAAAUUUUUUUAUUUUAAUUAAUUUAAUAUUAAUAUUUAAAUUUUUUAUAAAAUAAAUAUUUUUAAUUUUUAAUAUCCAAAAAUAAAAAAACCAUAAAAUAAUUUUGAAAUAUCUAAAAAUAACAAAAAAAUAAUUUUUAAUAAUAAAAAUUUAAAUCUUAACAAAAACAUGGUAAAAAAAAGUUCAGGCUGUUAAAAUUGCAAGCAAGUCAACAGAUUUACAAGAAAAUAUUUAUUACACGUUUUGCUAUGUAACACAUUUUUCUUUUCUCAAAAGCAAUUGUGACAUCUAAAUUCUGACACCUUCCCAGUCACCACGCUCUAGAUUUGAGAAAUCUCCCUAUUGGCCGUGGAAGAUUUUUCCACAUUUCUUGUUUAGCCAUUUUGGGUCUCAAUUUUUGCUUUUCGCCUCAUUUUAAGCGUUCAACUUGUAUAAACUAUUCAAUUCAAUGGACCUUUAAGUAUUUAAUAAAAUUUUCAUAAAUACUUAUGUAAAUUUUCAUAAUGUUAACAAAAUGAUAACAUUAAAAAUAAAAUAAAUGUUAAGUUCUUAAUUUUAUUUAUGAAGUUAAAAAUAUUAUAUUGAUAAAACUAAGCAUGUUUUAUUUUUAAUUCAAUAAGCAACUAUUUCCAAUAAGCAUGUUUUAUUCAAUAAAACUAACCAACGUUCAAUUUCUAUCUAGCGGCUAGAUAUGGUUUACACGAGUCUGGCCGGGUCUCUCAAAAUCAUAUAUAUAUAUAUAUAUAUAUAUAUAUUUCUAACCAAAAACAAAUUACAUUUCAAUGGUCGUUGGUGAUAAUGAAUGGCAACUGUCGGCAGCAAUCGCACGAUCUCGACAGGUGGGCUAGUCGACACGCGCGACGUCGCUCGAUAUAUCGAUUUCUGCACCACUGGAUUUAGUUGCCUUUCGACUUCAAACCAAUGAAUGAAGCCAUCAACUUUGAAUGGAAUUAUUUACUGUUCUUUAAAAAUUAAACCCAAGAAAUAGCACUAAUUUUUUUUUCUAACCUGUAGAAAAGUAGAACCUCGGAGAGUGGUCAAUUAGCUUUGUUACUGUCUUUGUUGAAAAUUUUUAAAUAUUUGAAUGAAAUCAAAAAAUAAAAUUUUCAACAAAAUUAAAAAAGAUGAAUUAUAUGUAAAAAUGCAGUAACUUUUCCAAGUUUCUUAAAUUGAUAAAGAAAAAAAGGUUCCAAAAUACGGGAUGUUGAUUAUUUAGUAAUAGUAAUUAGCUUUCUAGUUUUGAUUAAUUACGGCCACUAUAAACCAGUAAACGACUAUGAAUUUGCAAUUCAUUAAUUAAAGUUUUUUAAGUUUCAAUAACUUCUCUUUCCAAAUAUGUGUCAAAAAAAAAAUGUUAAAAGUAGUGUUAGUUAAAAUUUUUAAAAAAUAAAAAGAAUUUUAUUGAUUAAGCUAAUAAGUGAUUAAAAGUAUUGCUAACCAUUUCAAAUAUUGCUAACUAUUUUUAUAAAAAAUAAUACUCAAAUAUAUCCUUGAGUUAUAUUAAAAAAUGAAAACAAAGCUUUUGAUUUUUUAUUUAUAAAAUUAAGAUUGUAAAAUUUUAUUUUAUCCUAAUUAUCCCAUUAAAUCUUGAAAAUUAAUUAACAAAAUCUAAUUACCAUAGUUUUAAAAUAAUACUCUCAAAUAUUUGUCACUUAAGUUCAUUUAAAUAAAUUUAAAUAAGCAUUUUUUUUUAUAAAUUAUAUCAACCAAUCAAGAAGAUUUAACAAAAAAUUAGAAUAUUUUAAAAUGUCAAAAUUUUAAUUAAAUAGUAAAAUAUAAGUUCAUAUUAUUAGUUUCAUGUAAUAAAAGAUUAAGUGUUUAUUUGGAUAACACUUAAUCCCAUUUACCUACCCCAAACCACCCAAAAAAUAUAAAUUAUAAAGAGAGGGAAGAAGCCGGGGUGUGAACACUGCAAGAGCCGAGGUAAAUUACCAGGCUUUGUCUUGGUCCACCUUUUCGUAAAAGAAAGCUAAGGAAGUUGCAUUUUUCCCAAAUGAGUUUGCCCAAGUUACCCUCAACUAUUCUCAAACCUCCUAUAAAUUGAAUCCCAUUUUUGCAGAAGUUGCAUAUCUCCUAUUCCUUCCAUCUGCCCUACCCCUGUGAACCUCUCAAAAUUUUAUUUGUUUACUACAAAAUAUGAAAGUAAUUAUAAAUUUUAACCAUUAAAUUAAUAAAAUUUUCAUCCUUACCUGUUUCUAUUUUUUCUACCAAGGAAAGCUUAAACUAUUGAUUCGUGCAGGUUGCAUGGCAACCGUUUGUUUGCCUUUUCCGUUAGCAUUAAUAUUUCGUGUGGUUGUUUGUUACAGACUGAAGGUUUGACCCAAAACCAGCUUAAAACAUGUUAUCUAAUUUAAAUUUGCUGUAAUUUUUUUGGCAAUUAAUGAUGGGCUUAUAAUAUUUUAUUUAAUGCUUAAAUUUAAAUUAAACCUGUACUCUUUUUUUAUAUAUAUAAAGAGGGAUUAAUUUAUACAAAAGGUUAUAUUAAUUUAUUUUUUUUCAUUUCACUUUCUUAUUCUUUAGAUGUAUUGAAAAUAAUAGUUAAAAAAGAUCAUAAAAUUUUUAAUUUUACAUUGAUAAAUUAAUCAUUUCCCUAUACAUAUCUUAUUUCAUUAGUUCAUAUAUGUUUUUUUUUUUUUUUUGUUGAGAUUAUAUGUAAUUCUUGUUAUUUUUCUUUUUUAAAAUCUAUCUUUAUAUUUUAUAGUAUUAAUUUUUAAGAAUAUAUUUUUAUAUUUGAUUAUUUGAUCAUAUUUUUUUCUCCUUUUGAGAUUAUAUCUAAUUCUUGUUAUUUUUUUAUUUUAAAACAUUUAUCUUUACAUUUUAUAGUAUAAAUUUAUUAUAAUAUAUUUGUUUUGAAAUUGUGUUGAGGUGAUGUUUAUUAUAAUAUUAUUUCAUCUUUUAGAAUUCCAAUAUUGAUCGUAGAAGCAAUCGUUCGAUUUUGGUGACUUACGUUAGUUUUCCGCUCGAUACUUUCGGCCCGAUAGUGAUGUUAUAGUAAUUUCGUUUUUUUUGUGCUAUAGAAAAGGAUCUGAGCUGCUUCAAUUAUUUUGCCUGUGCUUUUUCCUUCGUUUUCUAUGUCAAAGUCAUCGGUGCUAAAGUUACAGUUACUUUUUCAAUUUAAAUUUAUGUCUAGACGAUAGUUAUUAAUACAUUAAUUUUUUCAUCAAUUACAAACGAGGCGGUCGGUUUUGGUAAAGUGUUGUGAAUGUUCAUCGGUAGACCAAAACUAUUUGUUCAUAUGCGAAUAUGUUAUUUAAAUUUCACCUGUCAAUAUUUGCAAGGAAUCGCACGAUUUCGACAGGCUUCAGUAAGUGAUCGGGCGAUGGAUGUUGCACGAUAAAGCAACGGUAGAUCAAAACUAUUUGUCCAUAUGCGAACGCAAGGAGUCGCAUGAUUUCGACCGACUUUCGAAAGUGCUCGGGCGAUGCAAAGUGCACGAUAAAGCAACGGUAGAUCAAAACUAUUUGUCCAUAUGCGAAUGUGUCAUUUAAAUUUCACAUGACAAUUUUCGCAAGGAGUCGCACGAUUUCGACGCACGAUUUCGACAGAAGUUCGAAAGUGCUCGGGCGAUGGAAAGUGCACGAUAAAGGAACGGUGGACCAAAACUAUUUGUCCAUAUGCGAAUAUAUUAUUUAAAUUUCAUCUGUCAAUUCUCGCGAGGAGUCGCACGAUUUCGACAGACUAUCGUACGUGCUCGCGCGAUAUACCAACGGUGGAAGGUGCACGAUAAACCAACGACAAACUUGAGAGGAGUCAUCGUAUUUUAUUGCCGAUUGAACAAAAAAACCUUACAAACUUUGAUCGCCAAAAUUUUCUUUCGAACCAAAAUAAAAAAUCUAAAAAAAAUUAAGUGAGAACAAGGUAAUUUACUCUGAAAGAGAAAGGGAAUAAAGCCAAUUUUUGAAAAUUUCCAAUUAAAUUUGGUUUUUCUACUCUUCACCUAUCCACUCCUUCACAAUUAUUUUUAACUCUCUUUUGCUGUAUGACGGUGAUGAUUGUUUUAAUAUUUUAUUAAUUGUUUAAAACUUUAUAUUUAUUAGUUUUAAAAAUUUAUAUUUGAUAAUAUUUAAAUUAUUAAUAAUAUUAUCAAUGGAUAAAAGGGGUUGUGCAAUUCGGAGUGUUCAUAUAUUUCAAGAAACACAGCUCGUCACUUCAUCCUUGGAAAUAUUUUAAAAAUUUUUAUUAUUUAAUAAUUCUUGAUUCACUUAAAUGUAUAUAUUUAAAGUCUAAAAAUGUAUUAAAUACAAAUUUACUUUUAAAAUAUAAUAUUCAUCAUAAAAACGUGUCAUUCAUGAAAUGGUUAUAAUUUUUAAAAGUUUAAUCAAAUAUUUAUAAACUCACGUUUAUAAUUUUUAAAAAAUAUUUUAAUUUAUUGCUUGGCAAAUGUUAACGAAAUUGUUUUAAGGACAAGAUUAACUUUUGUUCAUACUCAAAAAUUUUUUUGGUAUAAAAAACCUGUAAUCAUUAAAAAAAUUAUAAAUGUUAAAAUUUAAAAUUUAAAAUUAUUAAAUAUUAUUUUUUAAAAAAUUAUAUAAAUCAAUUAAAUUUAAAUUUAAAUUUAUUAUAAUAAAAAAAGUUGAACUCAAAUUAUUUGCUCUUGAAAUUAUUUUCUAUACAAUCAUUUAUCUAAUAUUUUUAAAAUUUUUUAAAUAGUUAAUUCUUGUAUUUAUUGCGAGUUCGGGAUAGGUGUCUUAAUUAGUAUUGCCAAAUAAGAAUAGCUUUCCCACUUACCGUAAAUUCAUUUUAAUACAAGCCCAUUACAAAAUAUAGAGCAACCGCAAAUUUAUUGCCUUAGCAGACCAUCAGGUCAUUAACAAUUUGAAUUUCAACGGGCAAUCAAUUAUUUAACUGUCAGAAAUCAUUACACUCUCGAUGAAAUAAACAAUUUUUUUGAGAUUUGUAAAUGUUUAGAACAAAAAUAUAUAUUUUAAAUAUUAAAAUUAAAAAAUAUUUUUAUGUUUAAAAAAAAUUACAAUUCUUUUACUAAAAUUUUUGUCGUGAAUAAAUAAUAAUAUUCUACUUGCAACCUAUUACAAGCUAAAUUUUUUGAUUAUUAUUGUUCCUUAUAUUUAGAAAAUUCUAGCAUAAGUCAACUACAUCCAAAAAUUAAAUUUAAAUUUGAUCAUAAAUCUUUUGAUAUAUUCAAUAUUGAAAUUAGUAUUAUGGUCAAAUAAUUGUACAACUUUUUUUUUACAAUUUAAACAAUUUCUUACUUUUGUAAAAUCAUAAUUUAUUGAUUAUAUAAAAAUAAUCAAUAUUAUAUAUAUUUUAAAAUAAUCAAUUUAUUAGAAAUCUUUGAAAAAAACAUAUUUAUUUAAUUGUAUCAAAUAUGAAAAAUCCAAAAAUUAAUGGAAGGACCUCAGCUUGCAUACAUUGAUCAAGAUCUUGACCAAUUAAAUCAAGCAAUCAAAAAGUUUUUUUCUCCCAACAAAUAUCAAUUCCAUUCAGAAAUAACAAUGACGAAACAUGCAAAACCUCUGCAUUGCGAAAUUCUCAAAUCUUGAUACCCUCAAAUCUCAAUUCAAACAAAUGAGAGACGAAUUUUUGUUCAAAGAUCUUACAUUGGAAAAAAAUUUACCAUAAAUAGAUCUAGCAACAAUGGAUUUAUUGAGUAAAUUAUCCAAUACGGAAGAAUUUGAUCAUCUACAGUAUUUAUUGUUUCGAAAGAUGAAAUUUAUGGCAUUAAUCAAGAACCAACUCUUCCCAAGCAUUCAAUCCGGAUGAAGAAGAGCUGUCCAAUCUGAACAAUAUGAUAAAAAUCCGACCAGGAGCAUCUUUCUGUCAACAUUAGCGGACAAAAAAUAAUGUGGACAACAUGUGAUCAUAAAGAAAUGGCCGAUAUGUAACUCAACCAGAGUUUACUUGUAGUUAAAACUAACCUAACCCAGGUUAAUCUUUGUGUAUAAAUUGACUCUUAGGAUGGAAAUAAGAGAGAUCCCCUUCUCGGAUCAUCAUUGUUUCCUCCCUGUCAUCUUCUCUUCUAUCCAACAACCAUCCUCUCUCAUCGUAAAAUGUCUCUGCAUCUUGGAAUGCUUUAGGCAAGUAGCGCCGAGCGUUCUAUUUGAUUAAAUUAAUCUGAACUGAAGUUUAUUAUUUUAAAUUGGUUCAUCAAUUUUAGAGAUUAUAUUUAAAAAUUUUUUUACACUUAUUUAUAUAUUAUUUUUAAUAGUUUAAAUAAAUUUAAAUAUAAAAUAAUUAUUUUAAUUUAUAAAAUUUAAAUUUUGUAAAACUAAUAAAAAUAUAAUUAAAUUCUACUCAAAUUAAACUUAUAUUAUCGUAUUCGUGUGAUACACCAAGAAUUUGUAUUGCUUGAAUUUUUUUACUUUUUUUUUUUCAUUUUCUAUGUCAACAUCGUCUGUGCUAUAGAUGAUUGUUAGCUUUUUUAUAUUAUUUUAAAAUUCUGAUGCUAUAGAUUCGUGAGUGUUCACUCCAUAGACCAAAAUUAUUCAUUAGGUGGAUGCUAAUUUUUUAUUGAUUAAGUACAGUGCAGACAAAGCAAAAAAACAGAAAUUAGCAAUUGCGGCAAAGUCAGCUGUUCAUAGAUGAUUGUUCCCAUUUUUGAAUUGUGUUAAGGUGAUGUUUAUUAUAAUUUUAUUUCAUCUUUUAGAAUUCCAAUAUUGAUCGUAGAAGCAAUCGUUCGAUUUUGGUGACUUUCGUUAGUUUUCCGCUCGAUACUUUCGGCCGGAUAGUGAUGUUAUAGUAAUUUCGUUUUUUUUGUGCUAUAGAAAAGGAUCUGAGCUGCUUCAAUUAUUUUACCAACUUUUUUCUUCGUUUUCUAUGUCAAAGUCAUCGGUGCUAAAGUUGCAGUUACUUUUUCAAUUUAAAAUUUUUGUCUAGACGAUAGUUAUUAAUACAUUAAUUUUUUCAUCAUUACAAAAGAGUCGGUCGGUUUUGAUAAAGUGUUGUAAAUGUUCAUCGGUAGACCAAACUAUUUUCACCUGUCAAUUUUCGCAAGGAGUCGCACGAUUUCGAGAGACUUUCAAAAGUGCUCGGGCGAUGCAAAGUGCACGAUAAAGAAACGGUAGCCCAAAACUAUUUGUCCAUAUGGGAAUAUGUUAUUUAAACUUCAACUGUCAUUUUUCGCAAGGAGUAGCACGAUUUCGACAGACUAUCGUAAGUGCUCGCGCGAUAAACCAACGCUGGAAAGUCCACGAUAAACCAACGACAGACUUGAGAGCAUUCAUCGUAUUUUAUUGCCGAUUGAACAAAAAAAAGUUAUAAACUUUGAUGGCCAAAAUAUUCUUUCGAAUCAAAAUAAAAAAUAUAAAAAAAAAUUAAGUGAGAACAAGGUAAUUUACUCUAAAAGAGAAAGGGAAUAAAGCCAAUUUUUGAAAAUUUCCAAUUAAAUUUGGUUUUUCUACUCUUCACCUAUACACUCCUUUACAAUAUGUUUAACGCUCUUUUACUAUAUGAUGGUGAUGAUUGUUUUAAUAUUAUUAUUAUUUGUUUAAAACUUUAUAUUUAUUAAAUUUAAAAAUUUAUAUUUGAUAAUAUCUAAAUUAUUAUUAAUAUUAUCAAUGGAUAAAGGGUUGUGCAAUUCGGAGUGUUCAUAUAUUUCAUGAAACACAACUGGUCACUUCAUCAUUCGAAAUAUUUUAAAAAAUUUUAUUUCUUUAAUAAUUCAUGAUUCACUUAAAUGUAUAUACUUAUACUCUAAAAAUGUAUUAAAAAUAAACUUACUUUUAAAAUAUAAUAUUUAUCAUAAAAACAUGUCGUUAAUGAAAUGUUUUUAAUUUUUAAAGGUUUAAUCAAAUAUUUAUAAACUCACGUUUAUAAUUUUUUAAAAACAUUCUGACUCGUUGCUUGGCAAAUAUCAACGGAUAUUGUUUUAAGGAUAAGAUUAACUCUUGUUCAUAAUCAAAAUUUUUUCUUGGUAUAAAAAAACCAUAAUCAUAGAAGAAGUUGUUGUAAAUAUUAGAAUUUGAGUUUUAAAUUUAUUAAAUGUUAUUUUUAAAAAAAGAUUAUAUGGAUAGAUUAAGUUAAAUUUCAAUUUUAUUAUAAUAAAAAAUUUUUAACUCAACUUAUUUGCUCUUGAAAUUAUUUUCUAUGUGACCAUUUAUCUAAUAUAUUUGAAAAAUUUUUCAAUAGUUAAUUCUUGUAUUUAUUGCGAGUUUGGGAUAGGUGUCUUAAUUAGUAUUUUCAUAUAAGAGUAGCUUUUCCACUUACUGUAAAUUCAUUUUAAUAGAAGUCGAUUACAAAAUAUAGAACAAUCGCAAAUUUAUUGCCUUAGCAGACCAUCAGGUCAUUAAAAUUUUGAAUUUCAAUGGGCAAUCAAUUAUUUAACUGUCAGAUGUUGGCUGUCUUAGCCCUCAAUUUAGCAUGGUCAUCUAUCGUCUAUAACAUCUAGGGAGAAAGAAACAGUAAGAAAUAUGGUUAGCUUAUCUCUUUUCUUAUAUUUAGAGAUGAAAACGGUUUAGAUUGAUUUUGGUUCAAUUUUUGUAAAUAAUAUAUAAUAUUAUAAAUUUUUAAAAUUUGUUCUAAAUAUAAAUUUUUUAAAAAAUUGAUUUGACUCAAAAUUAAAUUUUAUCAGUUCAAUUUAAUUUUUUUAUUUUUAAUAUAAUUUUAAAUAUAUUUAAAUAAAUUUAGAUAUUAAAUAAUUAUUUUUAUUUUAUAAAAAUUUAAAAUAUAUAUAAGUUAAUAAAAAUAUAUAUAAUUCAGUUUAGCUUAGUUUUUUUUUUUUUUUAGGUUUUUACUUAAUCUAAAAUUCAAUCUGAAUCAAAAAUAUGUUUAAUAUCCAAAUUUAAUCCAAACCUAUUAAGAAAAAUACCAACUAAAAUUGAACAAAAUACUAUUAUUGAAGUUUGCCUUAAAUCUCUAGAUCUCAUAUCGAAAGUUGAGUGAUAUUAUAAGAGUUAAGAAUUUAUAUUGUAUCCACAUCAAAAGUUUAGUAAAUUUAUAAAAGGGUUUCACACUUAUAAAUAAAACAUUUUAGUUUUAGUUUGGUAAUUUCAAAUAGUUGGAUACUAAAAGAAUAGUUAAGUUACUAAACUAUUAAAAUAAUGUAAUUAAGUUUUCGGUUAAAUUUUAAUAAGGAGUUUUUUGUGAAUUUUUUUAAUCUAAAAGUCUUACAAUUGUAAAUAUUUAUUUAUUAGUUGAUUAGGUUUGGAGUAGGUUAUUUUUGAUUGAAUUGAAAUAAAUAUAUUUGUGUGUUCUUAUUUUUUAUCUUGGGCUUGUUGUUUGUGUGUGUAUUGCUAUGCAUGUGUGUUUGUUCCUAACAAGUGGCAUCAGUACAUAGAUUCAAAAUGUGGGAAGAAGCAAGCUUAGAGGAGUUUGAUUCAAGAAAAAGUUUGAGUUUAUAUUUUAAAAUCGAUUUUCUUGAAGUAUGAAGACACAUAAAGAAAAUUAUUACAGAACUUUUAUUAUAGGUGGAGCUAAGCAUUUCUAGUAUGAAAUUGAUGAUUUGAUAAAAUUUGAGUAAAUGUAGAGAUUAUUGAGAAUAGUGAUUGAAAUCACAAAAAAAAAUUUAGAUAAAGAUUUAUUUCAAACUUGGAAUUAGUUUGAUAUUACUUGAUUGACAAAAAAAAUUAUACAAAAAUAAUUUUAAGAUGAAAGAGAUUCUUGAUAAUUAAGUUUGUAUAUUUAUAAUUGUUAUGAGACUUUAAUUGUAAGUAGAGCCAAAUAUCUAGCAUAAAAAUUGAUAAUUUGAUGGAAUUUAAGUAAAUAUAGAGAUUAUUAGGAAUAGUUAUUUAAAUUUCAUAAGAGAUUUGGAUAAAGAUUUAUCUAAACUUGGAAUUAGUUAGAUAUUACUUAAUAGACAAAAAGAUUUGUACAAAAAAAAUUGUAAGAGGAAAAAAUUUUUGAUAGGCAAAUUUGAAUACUUAUAAAUAAGUAAAGUCAUUACAAGGUUAUAUAUAUAAAAAAAAGAUAUAAGAAAGUUGUAAGAUUUUAUUGUAUAGAGACCCCAUAAGAUUAAAAAAUAUUGACAUUUUUAUGGGUGUGUUUAUUUGAGUAAACUAGAAGAGAAUAAGAUGAUCUACAUAGAUAUGGUGUCUGGGUGUAAAUAAAUUGUAUUUAUUUGGGUUAAGAAUAUUUUAUAAGAUUAGAGGAGAUUAAGAUGUUCUAUAAGUAUUAAUUAUGAAUGAGAUUGAUUUGUUAAUAUGUUUGUAACUCUUUAUAACUAGUAAAUUUUUUUCAUCUGUGGAUGUAAGUUGGUGGACUAAAUCACGUUAAAUUGUUAUCUCUUAUGCGAUUGAUUAAUUUUUUUUUUUUACAUUUGUUAACUUAAUUAAAUUAAGAUUUUUUUGUCUAAUAAUUGAUAUUAAAGUUAUCGUAAUUCUAAUAACUAUAAUUUUCAAUCAAUUUUUUAUUUUUUCAAUUUUUUCACACCCCUACUUGCAUUAUGGUGUAUCUAAUCAUCGAGGUUGUUAAACUCAAAGUCAGUAGUCAUCCCUAAUUCUCGAAGAUCAGAACCAAUUCACAUAUUUGGUUUCAAUGAUAAUUUUCCUUUUCUCUUUGUACACUUACUUUAUCCUUGAAUUUUUUUUUAUUUUUAAAUAAACAUUACUUUUUAUAGUAGAUAUUUUCUACUUUUGAAUUAAUAAAAUACCUUUAUUUAUCUGAAAAUAUAUAGAACAUCAUAAAGCGUACAGUUGGAAAAUAUAAGUAAGAGGUCAAGUCAUUUUGAAUCAAACAUUAUUUGCUUUGGAAUUGAAUCUAAAUUUAAUGUAGGUCGAGUUUGUUGUAUAUGAGUAUAGUUAUGGCAACAAAAACAAGAAUAGAACAAUAAAAGAAAAGAAACAAAAUUAUAACCAAGACACUUUAAGAAAUUUAUCUUAAGGAUGAUAGUCUCUUUACUACAGUACAAAUGAAAUUUGGAGACAUCAUCUACAAGAUACAAUGCCGAUCUUGAAGAAAGAAAAGAUUGCACUUCAAUUCUCUUGUUAGCUCUAACAAACUAGAAAAAAAAAAAUCCGAUUUUGAUCUUGAGAAGAAUGAACAGUUGUUAUAAAAUGAGUUUUAAUGGAUGUAUUUAUUUAUACACCUCAACCGAUGCUUAAAACGCCAUUUCAUCAAUGAACAUAUCUUUUAUGAAGAAUCAUCACUUUUAAAAUAAAACAUCUUGUUUAAUAAACAUAUUUUCUAAAAUUUCAAAAAGGGCAAUCAAAUGCCCGAAAUAAACAAUCGGCUUCCCUAAUUAUAUUUUCAAACAGAAUGAAUAUCCUUCUUGGGAAUUCAAUUGCCUUGUCAGGGCAUCCAAUUGUCCAAAGCCAAAUUCCUAAUAAAAUGUAAUUUGGCACCAGGUAGUUGACUCCCAUCAAAGAGCAAUUGACUCUUCGUUUUGUGUUUUAUUCAAAAGUCUAUUUCAACGCUUCCAAAUAUUUAUUCUUGAACACAUAUAUAUACUACAUGAUUAUAAAAUAAUAUUUAAUAUAAUAUAAUUUUAAAAAAUACUUCUUUGAUAAUAUAUACAACAGAGUUUGAGUCGUUUACGUGCUCAACUCAAGUUAGGCUAAGGUAAGCCAAAGUCAGCUUAAGAGCACUAGCAACUUGCUAAGCUUUUUGGCUUACUGUCCUCUUUCUAUAGAUUGUAAGUCUUCAAAAUUCUACUUAUUUUAUUUAAAUUCAAACUUAUUUUUUGUUCAUAAAAGAGCAAAGUACUGUUACAAAGGGAGAGGUCGGCUUGGUUUAAAUCCAAGCCUUCAUAUCUUUCUUAAGGUUUCUUUACCGUUAGGUUAAGAAAUAAAAGACAAAUUCAAACUUCAUUUAAUCGUUAAAAUGCGAGUUCUACUAUUAAAUAGCUCUUAGAAAUAAUUGAAAAUAUCCUAAUUUUGAAAAGAUGGUCAUUCAUAUGAGGAAUGCAUUUUUUGCAAUUUUCCUUUAUUCCAAAAAAAAAAAAAGGGAUUAAGUUGUUACAAUUAAUGAGAUUUGAGUUUUAAAUAAAAUAAUUAAAAAUAAAUAAACAUUUGACUAAAUAAUUAAGGCAUAUAUUUUACUAUUAAUUCAACAGUCAAGUUUUUUUAAAAAAUACCUCGUAAUUUUAAAAAAGUUGUCACUAUAAUUUAAAUUUUUAUUAUCAAAAUUUUUUAAGUUUGACCUCAUUUUAUUUUCAAUUUAGUAUUAAUUAAAAUGUAAAAAAUAGUUUUUUGGAAACUUUCGUUGAAGUAAUUUAUAUAUGUACCGAAAUUAAUUCACUAAAAAUAUUUAAAAUAAUUUUAAAUCAUUGUUGAAAAUUGUUAACCAGGAAAAAUCAACUAAUUCAGACUUUUAUAAAAUGGGAGUCAAAAAAGAAUGGAAAGAAACCAAUCGGAAGACAGGACUAAAAUAAACUUUUUAAAUGCUAAGGUCCAACGAAUCACGUGAACCGCGAAAACCCACGUGCUCUGAUGUUAUAUAAUCCGUGGAAACGUUGAGGCUAGGCCUGCGAAUUGAAUAUAAGUCUGACAAAUCUGCAAAGCAAAAGGAAAGCAUGCAAUUGUGUCUCGAGGAAUAUUCUUCGGUAAUUGCUGAAACGAUAAGGCAAAAGGUAUUAUUCUUUCAUCUUCUAAUAAUAUUUGAUAUUCUCUUCAGUGUUAUUGUAUUUUUGCUAUGACUGUUGUUCUGUUUCCAUGGGUCAUAAUUCUUGAAAAUAUCGUUCUCAGCUCACGGUUGAGCUGUUAUUCUUUCCCCAGCAAAUCAAGGAUGCAAUUAUGAACAAAAAUGUUUAAAAGAGAGAUGAAUUUGAUAUGACAGGAAGAAAAGGGCAAAAGUAAUUAUUCGAGGAAAAGUGAUGUUCUUUUGAAACCGGAAUAUUUCACAAACUAGUCCCGACUGCUUGGAGGCUGUUGAUGUUAUUUCGCUAUAAAAACUUGAACAAAGAAAACCCAAUAAAGCAAGUAGCUCAUGAAUUCAUUUGCAAUAAAAAAAAAAAAAAAACACUGAUGGCUCGAUGUCCAGCCUGGGAGAGCUCAUCUUUGUUCGAUAGGGUUCCCAAAAUGAUAAUUAGCGAAUAAAAGUUGACAAAACGAAGCAAAAAAGAGAGUGGGCGGAAGCAUUCAUCGCCACCCAGCAGUCAACAGCUUCUGCACAAAACCAGAUGAGUAGUGAAAGAAAUAGAGGGAAAAAAAAAAGAACCAUCGUACAAUUUAAAACAACUGCUAUAUGAAAUAUGAGAUCAAGCCAAUAUUUUUACUGUUUUCCUCUUUGGAUUAUUUUUGAAGAUUUUUUGACUUUCAACGGUGCGUUUGCAAUUUCAUACCCUUUUUUGUUUGACUUCUUUUUUGCAGGGUAGAAGAGUGCUUUUGAAUUGUAGAUUAACCAACCAGGUUUUACUAAUUAAUUGUUGUUAUUCUCUUUAAUAGAAUUGAAAUCCCAGGUUCAAAUCCCACCUCUCCUUCUACAUCUCAUAUGUAGUUAAGGAAAAAGCUUUUGCUUAAGGGGCUUGCUUGCACUGCCCGCCCCCCCUCCUGUGAGACAAAGAGGGAAUUUGUUAAUUCAAAUAGUUGUUUUUUUUAAAAUAAGUUCAACCUUUCGAGUUAUUUGACCUUUAUUGGUUAAUCCAUUUAGGUUAUUUGGUGUCAUUUUUUUUAAUUAUAUCGUAAAGAUAAAAUUUUAAUAUAAAUAAAAAAAUUAAUUUAAAAUUAAAUUUUUGAUAUCUCUUCAAAUAUAUUUAAUCGUUAAAUCAAAAGCUUAGAACAUUUGGUGUCGUUUUCGUUUGUUAUGGAUAGUUGCAAUUUUUUUCCUCAAAGAAAAAAUAAGAAAAGAGAAAAGGAAACCGUAAAGGACAAGUACUCGAAUUCUUGGCAUACUUGAUUGGUGCAUAAACUUUCAUUCAUUAUAAAAUUAAAAAAGUUUUACAUUAUUUUUACAUUAUUUAUUUUAAUAAAUUUUAAAAAUAAAGUGAUAAAUCGAAAAUUAUAUUUUAAUUUUAUCUUUUAAAUUUAUUAAAAUUAAUAAUUAUAAAAAUUAUAAAAAAUUUUAAUUGAACACUAAUAUAAAUUAAAUAGUACUCUUCAAUUAAAACAAAGCGAACUGUGCAAGCAGCAGGUGAUGGGGCUAGACCAAUAGGGUGCUGGAAUGGCUCUACUGCUUUAGGCAAAUAGCGACAAAAUAGGGCCUAGCGCUAGAUCUACACCAAUGGUUCACAUCGAAUGUAGUUUGAAUACUCCAGUUAAAGUAUAAUAUUUUUGAAUUUUUUAAAUUUGAUUGGAAGAAGAAUCCAAUCAAAUUUAUUCUGAAAUCAAAUUAACGUGAACUGAAUUUUAUUAUUUUAAAUUAGUUCAUCAAUUUUAAAAAUUAUAUUUUAAAAAAAUUUUACAAUUAUUUUUAAUAGAUUUAAAUCAAUUUAAAUAUAAAAUAAUUAUUUUAAUUUAUAAAAUUUAAAAUUUUAAGUAAAACUAAUAAAAAAUAUAAUUAAAUUCUAUUCAAAUAUUUUUUAAUUUUUAUUUCAUAAUUUAAAAGUCGAUUCAAUUAAAUAAAAAAAUUAAUUUAAAUCAAACCAAAAUACUAUAAUUUUAAAUUUAUUUUUGAUUUUUUAAUUAAAUUUUUUCGUUAGACCUUGUCAGCAUGGUCAGAUCUAUUCGAACUCUCUGAGUCUAUCACAAUUGGCGAGGGCUGACCUAGCUCAAGCUAUUGCAAAUUGCACUGGCCAUAUUUUGUCCCCCUUUGUCGGCCUACCUUGUCACCCACCGUAGCUAAAAAAUCAUAUCCACAUUUAAUUUCUACUGUACACAUUUGAAUAUCUGACAAUACUUCAAUCUUUGUGCAGGCUAUACGAGAACUUGGCAAGAAAAAGUCUUCGUCGUCGAUCGGAGUCAUGACAAAACUAGGUGAGUGUGAAAAGUUUCCUUCUCGGCUAAAAAAAUAAUAAACAAUAAUUCAUGUUUUCAUAAAGUAAAAUAUCCAAAGAAAUAAUUAAAUAUAUUUUUUAUAAAUGCCAAAUUUUAUUCAUUCAAAAAAAGUACCAGACCUGCUGCAGUUAGUCAAAAUUGCAGUUAGUCAAAAACAGAUAUUAAACUCUAUUAAUCAAUGUAACACUAAUUUUUUUUUUCUCGAAAGCAAUUGUGACAUCUGACCCCCAUUUCUUGUUUAUCCUUUGUUGGUCUCAAUUUUUGUUUUAAUCUCAUUUUUAGCAUUCAGCUUUUUUAAACUACUUUACUUAGACCUUUAAGUGUUUUCCAAAAUUUUUCUUAAAUACUUGUAAAUUUGUUACUUUUCAUUAAAAUUCUCUUUAAAUAAUCCAUUUAGUCUCAAUAUAUAAUAUAAAUUUUCAUAUAAAUAAUAAGUUUUAUUUUUUUUAUUUUAGUGAAGCUAUUUCCUUACAUGCAAAUUUUAUGAUAGAAAAAAAGCACAAUAAUUAUUUUGAGUAAUUAUAAUGCAUAAUAAAUGAAAACGUAAUUAUAAUAUUCAACAUAAAACUAAAUUUUAGCUAUAUAUAUAAUUUACAAUGUUAACAUGAACUAGGGAAAAAUAUAUUAAAAUUUUAAAUUAUAAAUUUGCUAUAAAGAAAUCAGGUAAUAAUUUAAAUAGACUGCAACUAUGCAUAAAAAAAAAAAUCAGCGAGUUUGUGUUAAAAAAUUUUACAUGAUUUUAUAUUAAAAUUUCAAACCUUGGCUCUGUCCUUCGUCUGAUUUAAUAUGAAAAUUUUUUUUCGCGAACUAUUAACUAUGAAAUUGGAAGGCAUGUACAACUAAUUUAAAACAAAUAAAGUAAAAAACAAUUGUCUAUCUUUUUGUUUGACUUUUCAACAUUUAGUAUAUCCUUCUCAAACGAUUUAAAAAAAAAAAAAGAAAAAAGCCAUAGAUAUCGGCAAAAACUACUUACAGAAAUUUGUUGGAAGUUAUUGGUCUAACAAAUUCUUCACUCUAGCAAUUAUUUCUUCUAUCUCACUUAAAAUGUUAUUUGUUGGCCUUCCAAAUAAAAGGAAAAAGGAGAAGCAGCAGAUCAGUUGUUCGAAAAAAACUGUACAAAUCAAGCAUACAGGUAAAUAUGGUGUGAUUAAUUAUUGAUAGGUUAUACAUAUAAUUUUAUAAAAUAAGAAGUUUAUUUACGGUUUUGAAAAUUCUUUUGUCUGUUCAAGCAGAGAGCAAAAGAAACUCUUCGGGUUAAGAUGAUGAAAACUGGAAUGGCAAAUAUGAUAGAGGAGAAAAGGGUAAUGACGGAGUCACUAAUGGCAACCAGGAGGGAUGCCGCACAGACUGAGGCAAACUGUAGGUUGCUGAAUAUGAGAAGGAAUGAGCUUAGGGAUGAGCUGAUAAGUGGAAUCAAUGACUUGGUGAGAUUGCGGGCGAUGGAGACUUUGCUGAAGUUGGAGCUGGGUCUCCUUUGAAACAGCUAUUUGACAGUGUGAUGAAUACAAUUUACUGCUUUUCCUGGAGUGAUCGAGAUUCGAGUAGGCGUUAAUAAAACUUGUAUGAAUGUUUUUCUUGCUUUGUGGACGCUUGCUUGUUUUCAACUUUGUUUGGUAUUUGAGACAUCAGAAUUUGAUUUAAGACUUACCAACAGAUCACAUAUCUUGUUUUAGGUUGAUGUACCUUCCAUCCGAAAGCUUUUUGGUGUAAGUCCUAAUGGCACUCUGAAACCUCUUUGCUUGGGAUGUUUAAAUUUAAAGAUGGUCUCCGUAGAUGAAAACAAGUCGAAAAAAUUUAAAGAGCAAAUGUCAAUUAAUCAAGCAUUUGAUACAGAUAUAUCGCUAAGCCAAAAAAGAAAAAAAAAUCAUAGCAAGAUAAUUUCCCACUCUCAGGCGUGUUCCUUGUUUGAAAUGCAUUUUCCUAUUUGAAGGCCUAAGGGUAUAAUCAAUCAUUUGCAUUUGACUAUUGUCUACCGGCGCUUGGGGUUAAGUCACAAACUGCUUGGGCUUGGCUUAUAACUUGGUUAAGCUAAUUGAGCCGAGCUUAAGUAGACUUUUCCCUUUUUUUUAAAAAAAAAACUUAAAUGGACUUUUCAAAGCUGGUAUACUGUUGCUAGUUAAAGAUUAAAAAAAGUUGGACAAAGAAUAUAAAAUUUAAUUCAACAAAUUUAUUCAAUUAUUGUAAAAGAUAUUUAAUGAGUUUAGAUUCAAAUUUUAGUAUAUAUAUAUAUUUUUUAUUUCAAGUUACACCUAAGUAAAAAAUUAUAUUAUUUAAUAAUCCCUUCGUGCAAUGCCACUAUCCUAUAAAUAGAAUGAACCAACUUCAGACCUCCGAUGUUAAAAGACUUCUUGAUUUGGUGGGCCAAUGGCCAUCCUAAGUGACUUCAUGGUUCAGAUACUGAGACACUCUUGGGAUGCAAUGGCUUAAUCGGCAGAAAACGGCAUCAAAUUCACCUUAAGUUAAUUUGGCAGUCAUUCAUGGUUGAUUUUCCAUUGUGUAAAUUAUAUAUUUUAUUUCUUCGUCCUUACAACUAGCUUGUAUGUUACAUCCCCCCUCUUUGCCAUUAGGAUAGGAAGAAUAAUCAUGACCGCUCCUUCGAAUAUUUAUCAACGGAAAGGCGGGGAGUAUUUCUCUCCAUGUUUUCGAUUUCUUUCCUACAUGUUUAGAGAGGAGUUUUUCUUAUUUUCUUGUCUAGUUAUAAAAUGAAGUUUGGUGUUAAUCUGGUUAGACAGUUAGAUAUCUUGAGCCUGUUGAGUCUCCCCGAUUUGGUUUCCAUCCUUUGGAUGAAACAUUCUGAUCAGUAAUGAACCCAGAACUGCUUUUUCCUUUUACCUUUUUUAUUGGCCGUUAGCAUAUAUAAUUCAUGUCUUCGUUGGCUACUUUCUUUUGGUAAGUAGUGGGAUUAUAUACCACUGCAUUCCUCAGAAAUUUUAUGCCAUCUUUCGUUUUGAAUGAGAGAAUUAAACUUUUUUCAGCUUUAUCUGAAUAAUAAAAUUGAAUAACAAUAACAACAACAAUAAUAAUAAUAAUAAUAAUAAUAAUAAUAAUAAUAAUAAUGUUAUUUGAUCAUUAAUUCGAAAGUAUAUAAAAAAUUAUUUAUCAUUGAAGAAGAGAAAUAAUAAUGCCUAAGAUAAGACUUUUGUGAACUCAUCUUGUAAUUACUCCAAAUAGAUCCAAGAGUUGUUUUACUUCAAUUUUCUUACUAUUAUUAUUUUUUCUUUUUUAUGUCAGUGCCAUGGACGCCUCUGUGGUUAAAAUUUUGUCACCAUCUAGACUUUUUGUGAACUUUCUAAGUAUCAUCCAUGGGAUAAACCAGGAAUUGAUUUGCUUCAAUUUUCUUACUAUUAUUAUUUUUUUAACUUCUAUGUCAAAAUUAUCGAGCUACAGCCUAUAGAUGAUUGUUCCCAUUUCUGUUUUGAAAUUGUGUUGAGGUGAUGUUUAUUAUAAUAUUAUUUUAUCUUUUGAAAUUGCUUCAAUCGUUCGAUAUUGGUGACUUUCGUAAGUUUUCCACUCGAUAAACCAAAAUUAUUCGGCUAGAUAUGUGAUGUUACCAAUUUCUUUCUUCGUUUUCUAUUUCAAAGUCAUCGGUGCCAUUGUUGGUUGUUACUUUUUCUAUUUUAAAUUUAUGUCUAGACGACGUUUAUUAAUACAGUAGUUUCAUCUUCUACAAUUUCAAUAUUGAUUGCACUAGCAGUAGCUCGGUUUUGGUUAAAUUUUGUGAAUUAUCACUCGAUAACCAAAAUUAUAUGUCUAGAUACGAUGUUAGAAUUUUUCUUUUUGGUGCAAGAAAGAAAACAAGAAUGGUCAUGCUUCAAUUUUCUUACCAACUCCUUUCUUUUUUUGUUGUUGUUUUAUAUGUCAAAGUUAUCGGGUUACAGAUGACUGCCACCUUUUAUUCUAAAAUUCUGCUGAAGUGAUGUUUAUUUCAUAGAUGACCUGUAAAGGUAGUAUACACCCAGGACCCAGCUCUCUUCGCGAGCGAACGCGCGAUUUUGGCUUAUCUUACCAGCAUUGAUCCUAUUGACAGACGAUCGUUAAAGGUGAUGUAUGUGCUCUAUUUAGUCUAUCAUAGGACGCUGGUUUUAUUUUUCCCCUUCUAUUUGAGUUUAUUUAAAAUUUCUUUUGGACAGUCUUUAUUUCAGUGGUCGAAUUUUGCAAGAAGUCAACAGAUUCUGUAGGCCAAUGGUGGUGUGUUUUGACUAGCGACAAAUCGUUUUAUCAUUUGAUUUUAGGCAAGCAACUUUUUCAAUAAAUAAAUUCUAGUAAAUUCAAUAAAAUCGACAAGAGUAGAAACGGCAAAAAGCUGCUAAAUAGCUCAGUUAAAAGGACACAAAACAUCUUUAAAACAUACGAUGUCUUACAAAACCAACUUUAACUCCCACGCCUUAAAAGAUUGGACAUCAAGUGAACAAACCAAGGUUCAGUUUCUAUCUAGCAGCUAGUUAUUUUUACUCGAGAUUGGCCCUGCUCUAACCGUGUUCUGGACAUGAGUUUUAGAUUUCGGACAUAAAGAGAGACUUUCUCUCGAAGUUUAUUUUUAUUUUUAAUUUUUGUUUGUAACCAAAAGCAAAUUAGACGUUAGUGAUAAUGAAUAGCAAUUUUUGCCAGCAAUCGCACGAUCAUGACAUGCUGACUAGUCCCAACGCGCGACAUCGCUCGGUAAGCCGAUUUCUUCACCGCUGGAUUUUGUUGCCUUUCGACUUUCUCUCAAUAGUCAAACCAAUGAAUUAAGCCAUCCUUUUUGAAUGGAGUUACUAAUUGUUCUUUAAAAAUUCAAAACAAAAAUAUUCUUGAGAAAAAUUCAGAAACAAGAAAUAAGAAUUGUUUCUUUCUUCUAAUUUGUAGAAAAUAAUAUUUUAAUAUUUACAUUGAGAAAAUUAGAAUCCGGACAGUGGCCAAUUAGCUUUAUUACUUUUUCUUGUUGAAAUUUUCAUCAUCUUAGAAUGAAAUAAAAAAUUAAAAAAGAUGCAUUAAAGGAUUUAUUAAUGUUUGCUUUCCAACACAAUACAAAAUUAGGUUUGGUCCUUAAAAAAAAACCAUAAAUACCAAAUAGUAAAUUAAUGUUGUAAUAAUGUUCAAGGAGUUAAAACUCAAGUGUAAUAAUGUUCAGAGCAAAAAUAGUAAUAAUUAGGCUUAUAAUUUGAAAAGGUAAGCAAACCAUGUUAAUUAAAAGCUCUCAUAAAUUCUUGAAGGGUAUCGUUUAGCAAGUUUUCAAGAGUCAGCCAAGAGGGUCAGGGCCCUCUGCCAACCCGCCAGUUCCACCCUGCUCACUCUCGUAUGGCCCUAGUGUGCUUAUACGAGGAGCUGAAAGCAAUGGAUCAUAAAUGGAGAAGCUGGGGUUGGACAGGAGCUAAAUUCAGCCCAGACAUGUUUGGAGACACUUUUAUAAACGGUUGGAUGAAUAAAUGGAGUGAAUAUUUUUGUAAAAAUUUAUAUGGAUAUUCAACUAAAAGUCAACUGACAUGGAUAGAGAGGUCUUUAUUAUUUUUACUUGCUCAAAAUACUUCUAAUUUAACCUGUGUGAAAUUUUAUACUUAAAUGUCAUAAAUGUCAUAAAUGAAUCUUAAAUUAUAAUAAAAUAUUUAAUAUUAUAUUUAAUUUUAAAAAUUUUUAAUAUAGUAUUUUAGGUAUGAAUAUAUUAAUUAAUGUGGAUAUUCAUUUUUAAUGUAGUUAACUUUAGAUGAUAAAUAUUAAUUAAUAAUUUAAUAAUUUAAAUAUUAUAUCAAAAAUUUUUAAAUUUAAUAUCAUAUUAAAUAAUUUUUUAUAAUUUAAAAACAAUUCGUGAUAUUAACCCUAUAUAUAUAAUUAAUAGAAGUCUGGAACUACUCAUAUUUUGUUUUCUUGUUGGUUAUUGUCGGAUUUAUAGAGGGCAUUAAAGCAAGUUUGGAGUUAUGUUACGUGGAUUCUUCCCUUGACCUUAACGUACCUGAGUCCUAGUGCUUCACCAUUCAUACGGUAUGACAUUUUGAUCUUAAAAAUUUAGUAAGUUUGCGCAUACACAUUGUGAUAGUAUUGUUUGAUUCAGUGAUAAGCCGAAGGUUUGGAACCUCUAUUGAUUUCAAGAGAAUAUACCGUGAAGAUACUAAGUUAAUGUUGAAUUUUUAUAAAAAAAGUAAAAUACAAAAAAUAUAAAAGCUUUAAAAAAAGUAAAAUAUAAAAAAUACUAAGUUAAAAUUUUUUGGACAAAAAUUAGGUUCAAGCUAAUUAGAUUUUUUUAUUUUUUAUAAAAUAUUUAAUUUUUUAAAAUAUCUUUUUAAGUUCAAAUUAAGUUUGAAUUGAAAUUUUUUAAAAUUUAAAUUAUUUUGAAUUCGAAUUUUUUUACAUUCAAAUCUUUAACUUAUUUUAAUUGUUAGAUUAGUUUUAUCACCUCUACUCGUAACGUCAAAAACCCAUUAUUAACGGGCGAAUCAUUGCUUUGUUUAGUUACCGCCAAUUUUAAAGUGAGCGACAAAAUUUCUUUUUUUUUUUGUUUAAUUUUAUUUGAUUGAUGUAUUUGUUUAUUAUUAUUAUUUAUUAUUUUCAGUUUAUUUCAUAUUUUUUAUAUUUUACUUUUUUUAAAGCUUUUAUAUUUUCUUUUUUAUUAAUAUCAUAACGGUUUUGGGACUGUUAGAUGUAAAGUAUUUUAAAAUCGAGAGAAAUAAAAGGAAAGUCGCCACCACUAUUUGUUAGGGUGUGAUUAGCCACCCAAAAGUUUAUCAUUUUAAUAAAACUAUAAAAAUGGGUUUAAAAUUUAUUAAAAAGAUAAAUUUCGGUCUACGAAAAAUUAGAUUAGGUCCGAGAGUCGGUUACGUGUACGGAAUGAUUAACACCCCCACAAACGCCUAUAAAUUGGUACCAUUUAAUUACGCACUAUUUUCAAUGUUGGAUAGAAAUGGUUUUAAUUUGAAAUUUAACAUUAAUUCCCUUCAUUUGAAAAAAUAAAAUUUUGCUAAAAUUUUUAUUUAGAAAUAUUGAGAAAAUUUUUAAGUUAAAGAAUUAUCUUAAAAUUCUCCAACAUUUAGGCAGAAUUUAAAAUAACUCUUUUCGCUUAAGAUUUAACACAAUAAUCCUUAAAAUGAAAUAACAAUCUUUAUAGAAAAUAAUUGUUAGUGACUCUCCAACAUCUAGGUAGAGUACUAAGAAUUAUUUCUUUCGGAAUGUUAUUUUUAUUUUAUUUUAUAAUAUCACAAAAGAAAAUUUUUUUUAAAAAAAGUAUUAUUCUUUUUUAUUAUAAAAUAUUUUAUCAUCAAACAGUAAAUUAAAGAGAGAAUAAUGUAGACAAUUAUUGAUGAUAACAUGCUAACGUAUGUAUGCUAAUAAAUGUCAUGUAAAAUGAAAUGCAAUUUAAAAAUUAGGUUCUUAAGUAUAAUGAGACCACCCCGACUCUCUAACCUAUAGGUAGAGCUUAAGUGCGACUGUUUAUAUUUAAGAUCUCAAUUUACUAUUAUGCUUUUUAUUUAUUAAUCUUAUUAUUAAUGUGAAUUAAGAACUCGUGUGAAAAACUUAAUGAAAUGAAGUUUCCUAAAUACCCCAUCAUUUAAGCAGCAUUUGGGAACAAACCAUUUCAUGUGAGAUUUUCACAUGUAUCCUUAAAGUUUUGAAAUAGAUUUAGGGUAAAAUUUUAGGGUUUAAGUUUAGGGUUUGGGGUUUAAUUAAAACGCGAACAUCUCUAAAAAUCUCCAUCAUCUAGGCGGACAUUUCGGAGCAAGUUCAAUUUUUUAUAAUUUUUGAAAACUAAUUAAAAUUUUCUUAUAUAUUUCUUUUUAUGAAAAUUUAUUAAUAAUAAUUCUUCAACAUCUAGGCGGAAUUAUUUGUUUAGAAAAAUAUUUUUUAUUCCCUCCAACAUCUAAGCAGGAAAAAUAAAAAACGUAUUCCAUUAUUAUUAUUUAAACAUUUUUUAUAUAUUUUUAGUUAUUAUCCUAUUUCAUUUUAUUAUUAUUAAUAACAAUUAGAUAUUUAUCCUAAUAAAUUUAAAUAUUCAUCAUGCAUAAAUAUAAAAACUUAAAAUAACAAAAAUAAUAAUAUAUAAAAAAUUUUAAAAAAAAAAUUUUUUUACCUAAACCCAACGCUGGUCUGAGCCGGUCUGACCGGUUCGGAGGUUCAAUCAGCGGUUCAGACUGGUUCACUGGUGAUUCAUCUGAACCGAUUCAAGGCUGGCUGAAGCGGGUCAUCAGGUCGGGUUGUGCGGAUCUCGGGUCGAGUUCGGUCUACACGCUGAGCCUCUACGUUUAAAACGGCAUUGUUUUGGUCCUAUGCUCAAAACGACGCCGUUUUGCCCUUAUGUUUUCUAUAAAAAUCAAAAUUUUUUUUCAUCAGUUCAUUUCAUUUUACAAAAAAAAAAGGCUUUGGUUCUCUGGCUUCCGUCGGAAUCCAGCGCCAGGCGCUACGCCGGCUGCCAUGUGGGUCACCGUUGGCGGUGGUCGACGGUGACCGAAAAAGCAUCAAAAAGUCACCAAAAAUUCCUCUCAAUGCCCUCUUUUCAGAUCCGACCUUCGUUUGGCCUGAAAGUGUCUUGACAGUCGCGAAUCGAUCUUCGAAGUUUUUGAUCUCUCAUCUUUUUCUUUUUUUUUGGGACGACUUAAAGUGAUGAUUUCUUCUUCUUGUUUUAGGUGGCUAUGUUGCUGAGGUUCCUCCCUGCGGAGAGGACUUUGUUUGUUUUUUUUUUUGUGUAGAUCUAUUUCGUUUUCGGUUUGGGUAUUUUGGAGGGUUGCUUGAAAUUUAGUUUUUUAUGUGUGGGAAUGGGGGUCUGUAUGGGGGUGUUGAGAGUGUUUUGAGGGAGGAGUUCGUCUGAGCUUGAGGGUUUUCGUGGGGGUAGAUUGAAUGGGUAUUCUUUUUUUUUCAGAGAGCGUUCGAAAGAGCUGAAGGGAAAAAGGGAUGGGGAUUUUAAAGAGCUUCAAUUAGGGGGGUCUGGGUGGCUGUGGGGUGGCUGUAGGUGGGUUGAAUAGGGAGCUGGUCAGGGGGUUGACAAGGGGCUGGACAGAGGCCGCAGCGGUGCCAUACCAGCCCCUGGUUUCUGUCUCAUUUCUUUUUUUUUAAUUAUUGAUUUUUUAAUUAUUAUAUAUAUUUAAAAAAAUUUAUUAUUAUUAUUAUUAUUAUUAUUAUUAUUAUUAUUAUUAUUAAACUAAAAUGAAAACAGUAGACUCGAACAAAAUCGGUGUCUACAGCUACCUCUCUUUGCACAUUGCUGAGAAUCAAGAAUGGGGCAAAGACAAAGACAAUGAUUUUAUCCGAAAACAAAUCAUGGACUUUUUUUUUUAUAGGUAAGGUCAAGUGAUAAAGAAAACAACAUCGUGAGUUAAAAAAUAAAAAAAUUGAUUAAGGCAACACUGAAAGUCGAAUAAUAAAGAAGGUGAUCGAGACGACACCGUGAGUCAAGGAAUAACAAGAUCCGGAUUGAACAUGGAUUGAAUCACCAGUCAAAAAUAAGGAGAUCAAAAAUAAACCACGAGUAAGAGAAAUACUAAGGAUUAGGAUUAAACCGUAAAUCAGAGAAUAAAGAGAUUAGGAUUAAAUCACGAAUAAAAAAAAUGACGUUAACUUGGAUUGAAUCACAAGUAAAAAAAUAAAGAGAUCGGGAUUAAACCACCAGUUAGAGGAUAACAACAAUCGAGAUUAAACUGUGAUUUUAAAUAAAAGAGAUCGGGAUUGAACCACGAAUCGAAGAAUAAAAAGAUCGAGAUUAAAUCGCGAGUCAAAGGAUAACAAUAAUCGAGAUUAAACUGUGACUUUGAAUUAAAGAGAUCGGGAUUGAACCUCGAAUCGAAGAAUAAUGAGAUCGGAAUUAAAUCGCGAGUCAAAAAAUUAAAGAUGACUGAGACUAAACUGCAAGUCAGAGAAUUAAUGAAAUGAUCGAGAUUAAACCACGAGUCAAAAGAUAAAAACAAUCGAGACUAAACUGUGACUUUGAGUUAAAGAGAUCGAGAUUGAAUCGUGAAUCAAAGAAUGUUAACUCGGGUUGAAUCAUAAGUAAAAAAAUAAAGGGACCAGGAUUAAACCACGAGUCAGAGAAUAACAACAUCGAGAUUAAACUGCGACUUUGAAUUAAAGUGAUCGGGAUUAAACCAUGAAUCGAAGAAUAAAAAGAUCGGGAUUAAAUUACGAGUCAAAGGAUAACAACAAUCGAGAUUCAACUGCGACUUUGAAUUAAAGUGAUUAGGAUUGAACCGCGAAUCGAAGAAUAAAAAGAUCGAGAUUAAACCAUGAGUCAGAAGAUAACAACAAUCGAGAUUAAAACUGUGAUUUUAAAUUAAAGAGAUCGGGAUUAAACAGUGAAUCAGAGAAUAAAGAGAUCGAAAUUAAAUCGUGUAUCAAAAAUGACGUUAACUUGGAUUGAAUCACAAGUAAGAAAAUAAAAGAGAUCAGGAUUAAACCACAAGUCAAAAAAUAACAACAAUCGAGAUUAAACUAUGAUUUUAAAUUAAAAAGAUCGGGAUUGAACCGCGAAUCGAAAAAUAAAAGAUUGGGAUUAAAUCGCGAGUCAGAAAAUGACGUUAACUUGGAUUGAAUCACAAGUCAAAAAAUAAAGAGACUGGGAUUAAACUACGAGUCAGAGGUUAACAACAAUCGAGAUUAAACUAUAAUUUUUAAAUUAAAGAGAUCGAGAUUGAACCACGAAUCAGAGAAUAAAGAGACCGAGAUUAAACCAUGAAUCAGAGAAAUAAUGAAAUGACCGGGAUUAAGCCACAAGCCAAAUAUUGAUGACAAUUAGGAUUGAACUGCAAGUUAGAAAGAUAAAAAAAAAAGGACUGGGAUUAAAUCGCAAGUCAGGGAAACUAUAGAAAUGAUUGGGAUUAAACCGUAAGUGAAAAAAAUAAAAACAACUGAGAUUAAACCACGGGUGAAAGAUUAAAGAUGACUGAGACUAAAUCACAAGUUAGGGAAUAGAGGAAGACUGAGCUGUGAGUUGAGAAAUAGGAGAUUGGUUACUCCAUAGACCAACCAUUUUGAUUUUAAAAUUGUGUUAACAUACCAUCUUUAAGGCCAUCAUCUUUGUUUCGAGAAAAAAAAUGUUGAUUCUUCCUGAUGUCUCAUAAAGAAACCUUCUAUGCAACUUAUCGAGAGACAUGUAAUGAGUGCAAUGAUUGUGAUGAAUGAAAAGAUAAAAAAGCUAUCAACAAAUUAUAUCAUUCAUUUCAUCCAAGUUAAUUCAACUUUUGGUUCAAUUCUUUCAGACUUUAAAAGUCGCUUCCAGUAAUCUUGUCCCUUUAAAUCUUUCAAUUUUCGAACAAAAAUAUGUCUCAUGAUGGACCCAUCUGACUUUUAGUCGCUCUAAAAUCUCUUUUUUUCUUUUUUAUUUUAUUUUUUUAUCCCUUUUUGCUUCUUUGUCUUCAGUAAUCAAUUGAUUUCGUUUCAUUCUUUCUGCCCCCAUAUUACUAUUUUUAUCAUCUUCAUAUUGCAUUCUCUUUUCGAGCGAUGCAUUGGUCUAUUAUGAACUUUAUCAGUCAAUAUCUUAAUUUUAAAUGACAAAUGCAAUGAUUUCAGGUUUAAAGUUGGGUGUGCAAUACGAUCAGUAAUAGGGUAUUUCGGGUUUAGAAAGAUAAGCCUUUCGAGACAUAAGGAACAGUUGACUCAAAAGUAUUUCAAGAAUCAAAUAUCAAUUCUCUAAAUAAUGAACAUUUGGACAACCUCGGCCUACUCAGACCAUGUGUUUUCCAAAAACUCGUUACAUUUGCAAUCUUGUCACCUGUGAUUUCAUAUGACCAAUCCUUACCCCACAUCUGUGACUAAUGAGAACUUGCCCCCUAAAAGUCAUCUCUUUUAAUUCUGGUGAUAAUUCGUCCAUUCGGUGCCACUCCUUCGUUCUCUGAAAAACGUUUUCUGAGCUCCACCUUCAUUCAAGCCGCCUUUACAGGUUUCAACUUAAAUGACCUCCUUGACUCAAACUGCCCUUUUCGGGUUUUCAAUCUAAAUCACUGCAUUUCUCAUUUCUUUUUUUUUUUAUUUUUUUUCAUUUUUUUGGUUUUUUGUAGAUUCUUUCUUUUUUUUAAGCAAAAUAUUUCUUGACAAUGUCUAAAUUUACAGGACUUGGUAAUUCAUCUCCAUCCAUUUCUGUAAGGAUCAGAGCUCCACCAGAAAAAAUCUUUUUUACCACAUAUGGACUUUCUCAAUUGGGCAUCCAUUUUCCUCUAUUGUCAUGCUGAUAUGGUAAAAUCUUUUUCAAAACCAAUUCGCCCUCACCAAAACAUCAGGGUUGUAUCAUUUUGUCAUGUGCUCGUAUGAUUCUUCUUUGAUACAUUUGUCCAUAACUGAGUGCUGAGAGCCUUUUCUCAUCAAUAAGAUUAAGUUGCUCGAAACGAUCCUGAACCCAUUUUACCUCAUCCAAUUUUGUCUCUAUCAACACCCUCAGAGAAGAAAUUUCCAUUUCAAUCGACAGUACAACUUCCAUCCUAUACACUAGUGAAAACGGGGUGGCUCCUUAGAGGUUCGAAUUGAUGUUCUAUAGGUAAGCAAAGCAAAAUGUAACUUUUCAUGCCAAUCCUUAUAUGUGUCAGUCAUUUUCCCCAAUAAUGUCUUGAUGUUCUUAUUCGUAGCUUCCAUUGCACCAUUUAUUUUUGGGCGAUAUAGUGCUGAAUGAUGAUGCUUGAUCUUAAACUGUGCACAUAAUUUUUUCAUUAGUUUAUUGUUUAAAUUGCUAGCAUUAUCUGAGAUAAUCCUUUUUGGGAGACUAUACCGGUAUAUUAUCUCUCUUUUUAUAAAUCUACACACCACUAAUCGCAUAAUACUAGCAUACGAAGCUGCUUCUACCUAUUUUGUAAAAUAAUCGAUUACCAUAAAGAUAAAUCGUUGCCCAUUCGAAGCUUUAGGGGUUAUGGGUCCGAUCACAUCCAUUCCCCACAUGGAGAAAGGCCAUGGUGGCACCAAGACGUGCAGCGGGACUAGAGGAGAAUGAAUUUUAUCUACAUAAAUUUGGUAUUUGUGGUACUUUUUAGCAUAACUAAUGUAAUCAUUUUCUAUUGUAGACCAGUAAUAAUUAGCUAUCAUGAUCUGUUUGGCCAUCAUAUUCCCAUUAGCAUGUGUUUCACAAAUUCCUUCGUGUACUUCUUCAAGUAUCAUUCUCGCUUUCACAGCAUCAACGCACAUUAGCAAAAUCUGAUCUCGACUUUUUUUAUACAAGAUUUCUUCAUCAAGCACAAAACCUGCUGCUAAUCUUUAAAUGAUCCUCUUAUCAUUUUCUGAAGCCUGCUCUAAGUAGUUUUGACACUUGAUAUACUGUACAAUGUCAUAGUAUCAUGGUUGUCGAUCUACCUCUUCUUUCACAUUUGAACAGUGGGCUGGUAAAACUUUCAUUUGUACUAUAAUGUGUAGACACCCAAUUGGGUCCGGCCCAGAUCAAUUGGGCCUGGCCCAAAUGGGUAGGGCCCAAUUCAAUUUGUCCUGUAUUAUUUUGUAUUUUAUGUAUUUUAUUAUUAUGUAUAUAUUUAUUUAUUUAUUUAUUUUUAUUAGAUUAGAUUUAUAUGUAUAUAGUUAUAUAUUUAUUAUUAUUUUUUUUAUCUGUUCUGAUUUUUCCUGAUUAUCAGAUAUUUUUUUUAUAAUAUCUUUUGAUUUAUCUUUUCUAAUUAUCUAGUAUUUUUUAUUUAUUUUGAUUUUAAUUUUGGAGGGCUGAGAUUGAAGGCUGAAGAAUCCCAUUGGAAAUGGGAAUUCAAUCAGAAGAGUCCAGUAGGAUUCAAAGAUUGAAUUCCCGUCCAAGGAGGAAUUGGGAUUGAUCAGGAACUCCUGAUCAAUCCCUAUAAAAGGGACUCUGGAACAGAAUGCAAGGAACACAGAAAACAGUAAGCAAAGCUACUGAUUUGAGAGAAAAUGAGGCGUAUAGGAAGUUAAAAAAAGUUUAGGAGUGUUCUGGGAGUGAGAAAAAUUUUUUAGAAAUUUUUGGCGAAAAAUUUUUCUGGAAAUUUCUGGGAAAUUUCCAGAUUCCGACGAAAAUUCCGGCGAAGUUUUGAAUUUUCCGGCGAAAAUUCCGGCGAAGUUUUGAAGUUUCCGACGACCUGCCCAGUUUCCGGCAAAGAAUCCCAGAAACCGGCGACUUUCCGGCCAACUUCCGGUGAAAUUUCCAGAUUCCGACGAAAAUUUCCAAAAUCCGACACCGGUGUUCUUCGGUUUCUAGAGAGAAGGGAGAGAAAAAGGAAGAAGAGAGAGAGAGGGGGAGGAGCGUUCUGCCGAAAAACGGAGGAAGGUGCCUUUUAUACCCUCCCAAAACGACGUCGUUUUGGCCUUAAGUAACCCAGAGGAUCCGCGCUUUUUGCCGCAACCCGACCCGACCCGAGCGUCGACCCGCUUUCUGACCCGCGCGUGCCAGCCCCCUCCGAGCCGAGCCGAGCCGCGAUCCGAGCCGCUCCAGGUUUUUUUUUUUUCUUUGAAUUUUUUUUCCUUUGUUUAUUUGUUUAUUUCAUUUUUUAUUUAUUAGAUUAGGUUUAUGUAAUAUUCUUUUUAUUUAUUUUUAUUAUUUUAUUUUCUUUAAAUAAAAUAAAAAAUUCCAAAAAAAAUAUAUUUUUAGGGAAAAGUUGAAAGUAUCAAUUUUCCUUAGAAAUAAAUUUCCAAAAAAUAUUUUUGGGAAAAAGUUGAAAGUAUCAAUUUUCCUCAGAAAUAAAAUUCCAAAAACUAUUUUUGGGGAAAAGUUGAAAGUAUCAAUUUUCCUUAGAAAUAAAUUUUCAAAAAAAAGGGUUUUUGAGGAAAAGUUGAAAGUAUCAAUUUUCCUUGAAAAUCGAAAUUUCCAAAAAAAAUAUUUUUGGGGAAAAGUUGAAAGUAUCAAUUUUCCUUAGAAAUAAAUUUUCAAAAAAAGGGGGUUUUUGAGGAAAAGUUGAAAGUAUCAAUUUUCCUUGAAAAUCGAAAUUUUCAAAAAAUAUUUUUAGGGAAAAGUUGAAAGUAUCAAUUUUUCCUACAAAAAAAAAAUCAUUCUUUCAUUCCUUUCUAUCUUAAUUUUGAUUUUUUUUUCUCUUUCUUUAAAUAAUCCGACGACGGAGCCUCUGUAAGUGAAACAGUAGUUUUUCUUGCAUACUCUUGAGGUGAGGGAAUUUUCUCAAAUUUCUGCUAAAAGUAUUAGAGUCAAUUGAGAAUAAUUUUCAACAACUAACUACUUGGUAAAAUUUUAAGGCUUUUGGAUAACACAAAUUCAAGCUGGUACCAUCUUUGAUGGGCGUUGUGAGGGUGCUAUAACCUUCCUCNNNNNNNNNNNNNNNNNNNNNNNNNNNNNNNNNNNNNNNNNNNNNNNNNNNNNNNNNNNNNNNNNNNNNNNNNNNNNNNNNNNNNNNNNNNNNNNNNNNNNNNNNNNNNNNNNNNNNNNNNNNNNNNNNNNNNNNNNNNNNNNNNNNNNNNNNNNNNNNNNNNNNNNNNNNNNNNNNNNNNNNNNNNNNNNNNNNNNNNNNNNNNNNNNNNNNNNNNNNNNNNNNNNNNNNNNNNNNNNNNNNNNNNNNNNNNNNNNNNNNNNNNNNNNNNNNNNNNNNNNNNNNNNNNNNNNNNNNNNNNNNNNNNNNNNNNNNNNNNNNNNNNNNNNNNNNNNNNNNNNNNNNNNNNNNNNNNNNNNNNNNNNNNNNNNNNNNNNNNNNNNNNNNNNNNNNNNNNNNNNNNNNNNNNNNNNNNNNNNNNNNNNNNNNNNNNNNNNNNNNNNNNNNNNNNNNNNNNNNNNNNNNNNNNNNNNNNNNNNNNNNNNNNNNNNNNNNNNNNNNNNNNNNNNNNNNNNNNNNNNNNNNNNNNNNNNNNNNNNNNNNNNNNNNNNNNNNNNNNNNNNNNNNNNNNNNNNNNNNNNNNNNNNNNNNNNNNNNNNNNNNNNNNNNNNNNNNNNNNNNNNNNNNNNNNNNNNNNNNNNNNNNNNNNNNNNNNNNNNNNNNNNNNNNNNNNNNNNNNNNNNNNNNNNNNNNNNNNNNNNNNNNNNNNNNNNNNNNNNNNNNNNNNNNNNNNNNNNNNNNNNNNNNNNNNNNNNNNNNNNNNNNNNNNNNNNNNNNNNNNNNNNNNNNNNNNNNNNNNNNNNNNNNNNNNNNNNNNNNNNNNNNNNNNNNNNNNNNNNNNNNNNNNNNNNNNNNNNNNNNNNNNNNNNNNNNNNNNNNNNNNNNNNNNNNNNNNNNNNNNNNNNNNNNNNNNNNNNNNNNNNNNNNNNNNNNNNNNNNNNNNNNNNNNNNNNNNNNNNNNNNNNNNNNNNNNNNNNNNNNNNNNNNNNNNNNNNNNNNNAAACAAAAAAAAAACCAAAAAAUGUUGAGUUGAGUCUUGAUUGGGUGUCUACGUCUUUGCGCAAUUUUUGUUUCACAAAAAAUGUGCAAAGAGGGGCAGCUGUAGACACCCAAUUGGGUCCGGCCCAGAUCAAUUGGGCCUGGCCCAAAUGGGUAGGGCCCAAUUCAAUUUGUCCUGUAUUAUUUUGUAUUUUAUGUAUUUUAUGUAUUUUAUUAUUAUGUAUAUAUUUAUUUAUUUAUUUAUUUUUUAUUAGAUUAGAUUUAUAUGUAUAUAGUUAUAUAUUAUUAUUAUUUUUUUAUCUGUUCUGAUUUUCCUGAUUAUCAGAUAUUUUUUUAUAAUAUCUUUUGAUUUAUCUUUUCUAAUUAUCUAGUAUUUUUUAUUUAUUUUGAUUUUAAUUUUGGAGGGCUGAGAUUGAAGGCUGAAGAAUCCCAUUGGAAAUGGGAAUUCAAUCAGAAGAGGUCCAGUGGGAUCAAGAUUGAAUUCCCGUCCAAGGAGGAAUUGGGAUUGAUCAGGAACUCCUGAUCAAUCCCUAUAAAAGGGACUCUGGAACAGAAUGCAAGGAACACAGAAACAGUAAGCAAAGCUACUGAUUUGAGAGAAAAAGGAGGCGUAUAGAAGUUAGAAAAAGUUUAGGAUGUUCUGGGAGUGAGAAAAUUUUUUAGAAAUUUUUGGCGAAAUUUUUUCUGGAAAUUUCUGGGAAAUUUCCAGAUUCCGGCGAAAUUCCGGCGAAGUUUUGAAUUUUCCGACGAAAAUUUCGGCGAAGUUUUGAAGUUUCCGGCGAACCUGCCCAGUUUCCGGCAAAGAAUCCAGAAACCGGCGACUUUCCGGCCAACUUCCGGUGAAAUUUCCAGAUUCCGGCGAAAAUUUCCAGAAUCCGGCACCGGUGUUCUUCGGUUUCUAGAGAGAAGGGAGAGAAAAGGAAGAAGAGAGAGAGGAGGGAGGAGCGUUCUGCCGAAAAACGAAGGAAGGUGCCUUUUAUACCCUCCCAAAACGACGUCGUUUUGGCCUUAAGUAACCCAGAGGAUCCGCGCGUUUUGCCGCAACCCGACCCGACCCGGGCGUCGACCCGCUUUCUGACCCGCGUGUGCCAGCCCCCUCCGAGCCGAGCCGAGCCGAGCCGCGAUCCGAGCCGCUCCAGGUUUUUUUUUUUUUCUUUGAAUUUUUUUCCUUUGUUUAUUUGUUUAUUUCAUUUUUUAUUUAUUAGAUUAGGUUUAUGUAAUAUUCUUUUUAUUUAUUUUUUAUUAUUUUAUUUUCUUUAAAUAAAAAUAAAAAAAUUCCAAAAAAAAUAUAUUUUUAGGGAAAAGUUGAAAGUAUCAAUUUUCCUUAGAAAUAAAUUUCCAAAAAAUAUUUUUGGGGAAAAGUUGAAAGUAUCAAUUUUCCUCAGAAAUAAAUUUCAAAAAAAAAUAUUUUUAGGGAAAAGUUGAAAGUAUCAAUUUUCCUUAGAAAUAAAAUUCCAAAAACUAUUUUUGGGGAAAAGUUGAAAGUAUCAAUUUUCCUUAGAAAUAAAUUUUCAAAAAAAAGGGUUUUUGAGGAAAAGUUGAAAGUAUCAAUUUUCCUUGAAAAUCGAAAUUUCCAAAAAAAAUAUUUUUGGGGAAAAGUUGAAAGUAUCAAUUUUCCUUAGAAAUAAAUUUUCAAAAAAAGGGGGUUUUUGAGGAAAAGUUGAAAGUAUCAAUUUUCCUUGAAAAUCGAAAUUUUCAAAAAAUAUUUUUAGGGAAAAGUUGAAAGUAUCAAUUUUCCCUACAAAAAAAAAUCAUUCUUUCAUUCCUUUCUAUCUUAAUUUUGAUUUUUUUUUUCUCUUUCUUUAAAUAAUCCGACGACGGAGCCUCUGUAAGUGAAACAGUAGUUUUUCUUGCAUACUCUUGAGGUGAGGGAAUUUUCUCAAUUUUUUGCUAAAAGUAUUAGAGUCAAUUGAGAAUAAUUUUCAACAACUAACUACUUGGUAAAAUUUUAAGGCUUUUGGAUAACACAAAUUCAAGCUGGUACCAUCUUUUGAUGGGCGUUGUGAGGGUGCUAUAACCUUCCUCACACGUAACCGAACUCCCGAACCCUGUUCUGGUCAGCAGACCUGAACCUAUUCUUCUAGGGACCCUUAAACUUAGGUGUUCCCUGGAAGGACAGAUUCUUUAGGUGGCCAAUCGCACCUAGAUAAAAAAGAUUGGUGGCGACUCCCUAAAGUCAAUGUCUAGCGAUAGAUCCCCGGAUCUAGACGUUACGACAUAAUGGGUUGGAUUCCCAUACUAUUAUUUAACUUAAACAUUGUUGCCAAAGUAGCCAAGGCAUCAACAAUCUGGUUUUCUUCUUGAGGAACUUGCUAAAAUUGAAUCUCUUUAAAAUGUUUCCUCAAGCCAGUUAUGUGCCUUUGGUAUAACACUAGUUUUGAGUCCCUGGUCUCCCAUUCACCUUUUAGUUGAUAAAUUACCAAGGUCGAAUUCCCAUAUACUGCUAGUGUUUCAAUUUUCUUUUCAAUGGCCAUUUGUAACCCCAUGACACAUGCCUCAUAUUCAGCGACAUUGUUUGUGCGAUUGAAAUCUAACCUUGCGGUACAUGGGUAAUAAUUUCCUUCUGGGGAUAUUAGCACUGUUCCAAUGCAAUGGCCCAUUAUAUUGGAUGCCCCGUCAAAAAAUAUUUUCCAUACUUCUCUUACAGUCUCUCUAUCUUCAUCUUGCAAGAUUGCCAUCAAAUUUUCAUCUGAAAAUUCAAACUUCAUAGGUUCAUAAUCAUCUGUAGUUUGAUCAAUAAGAAAAUCAAUAAUUGCACUUUCUUUUAUGAAUUUUUGUGUCACCUACACAAUAUCAUAUUCUGAGAGCAUGACCUGCCACUCGCUAGCCUGCCUGAUAAGGAUGGUUUUUCAAAAAUAUACUUGAAGGGAUCCAAUUUUGAUAUUAGCCACAUUGUAUGGUAGAGCAUAUAUUGCCUGAGUCUACGAGUAGUCCAAGCCAGGGCAUAACAUAUUUUUUUUAUUUAGGGGUACUUGGUCUCGUACUCUGUAAACUUUUUACUCAAAUAGUAUAUAGCAUACUCUUUCUUGCCAGUUUCAUCUUUUUGCCCCAAUACAUAUCCCAUCGAUUUUUCUUGAACUGUUAGAUAUAAAAUCAACGGUCUUCUUGUAACUGGUGAAACUAACACCGGUGGGCUUAUCAAAUACUCUUUAAUCUUUUCAAAUGCAUUUUGACAUUUUUCAUCCCAUUCACCAGGAUUAUUUUUACAAAGCAACCUAAAGAUUGGAUCACAUUUCGAGGUAAGUUGGGAUAUGAAACGAGAAAUAUAAUUCAAUCACCCCAAAAAGCCUCUCACCUUUUUUUACGUGCGUGGUGCUGAUAAUUCUUGAAUGACUCAAAUUUUAUUAGGGUCUACUUCUAUACCUCUUUCACUGACUAUAAACCCUAACAAUUUUUUGGAUUUAACAGUAAAGGUGCAGUUGGCUGAAUUCAACUUAAGUUGGUAUCUCCAUAAUCUUUCAUAAAGCUUUUUGAGAUUAACAACGUGAUCUUCCCCUUCUUGAGACUUAGCUAUCAUAUCAUCAACAUAUACAUCUAUCUCCUUAUGCAUCAUAUCAUGAAAGAGAGUGACCAUCGCCCUUUGAUAUGUGGCACCAAUAUUUUUUAGCCUAAAAGGUAUAACUUUAUAGCAAAACGUGCCCUACAUUGUCAUAAAUAUAGUUUUUUCCAUAUCUUCAUGAGCCAUUUUGAUCUGAUUAGAAUCGGAGAACUCAUCCAUGAAAGAAAAAAUGGAGUGUUUAGCAGUGUUAUCUACAAGGGUAUCAAUAUAUGGCAACAAAAAAUUAUCCUUUGGGCUGGCCCUAUUUAAAUCUUAAUAGUCCACACACAUUCUAACUUUUUCAUCUUUCUUGGAAACUAGAACUAUAUUGGUCACCCAUUCAAGGUACUUGAUUACUUCUAAAAAACCAGCAUCAAAUUACUUUUUUACUUUUUCUUUUAUCUUCAGUAAUAUUUUUGGUUUCAUGCGUCUCAAUUUUUGCUUUACUGGUCGACAUUUUGAUUUUAAAGGCAAUCUAUGCUCAACCACAUCUGUGCUAAGUCCUGGCAUAUCCUGGUAAGAUCAUGCAAAUACAUCCAUGUACUCUUGUAGUAGAUUCACCAACUUUUGCUUUUCAAUCGGUGAUAGUGAAGUACUGAUCCUAACUUCUUUCUUAUUGUCACCAUCUCUCAAAUUUAAUAGGUCAGUUGAUUCCUGGUAGGGUUCUAUAAUUUUUUUCUCUUGUUCCAUUCAUUUCAGCAGAUCAUGAAGUAAAUCAUAGUCUUUGGAAUCAACAUCGUUAUCAAGCUCGCUAAUGUGAGUUGAAUUUUCAAAAUCAAACCCGGUGUUAUUACCUUGGUCAUCUAUAAUGUUCAUUAUUAGAAAACCUAAAAAUAGGUAUAAUCACAAAGAAAUAUAUAUUGAUCUUGGCAAGGGCAAAGAGAAUGUAAAUGAAAGAAAAGAAAAAUGAAAAGUAGAGAACAUGGUAUAAGUGAAAUGCAUUACAUUCAUCAUUUUAUUAAGACAAUGAAAAUAAGCCCAUACACUUAACCUCCACAUGCUCUUGGGCAGAAGCAAUUGGAAUUUUUAAGUUAAAAGGUUCAAAGACAACAAAAAUGAUACACUAUUUUUUGAGUCUCCUAAAAAGGAAAAAAAUCUCUUCAUCUUGCAUGACUCCUUCAUUUGCUUCAACUUGAAAUCGUGAGAAAGCUUCAUCUAAUCCCAUUACCAGUCCCCUUUAUUCAACUUUUGUCGACCCAUGAUAGACAUGCCCGACUGAACAAAAGGUUUCAUACAAAUAAGGGAACAUCAUUUUUCCAUCAAUCGAAUUUUACCCUUUGAGGCGUGCCAUUCUCUUUUCUUUCUUCUCCAACAUUACAUUUUUUUUUAUCAAUAGCCGUAGGCUUAUAGCCUAACCUCCAUCUUUUUUUAUUUUUAAUCAGGUAUGGUGCUCUUAUGAUUCCUUGUAGAGCUUUCCCUAAGCCUUACCCGGCUCGUCAACCCUUACCAGUAGUCUACUUUAUCACCAUAUUCAUAACUUUUAAUAAUUGAAGGAUCGGUAUCUUUGACCUUUCUUUUAUGUAAGUAGCAUUUGCUACAUCAAAAGCUCUGAAAGAACAUUCGAUUAUUUUUUCUACUACUUCAACGUAGGAAGUUGUUAAGAUCUUUGUUACCAAUAAGUUCUUUUCACCAUCCACACAGAUUUGUUUUCCUUUCAUGAUGAAUUUUACCUUUUGAUGUAGAGAUAAAGAUACAGCUCCGAUCGUGUGAAUCCAAGAUCUUUCAAGUAAACAACUAUAUUCAAAAGUUAUGUCCAUUACUUGAAAUAUGACAUUGAAGGUAUAAGAACCGAUCUAUAAUGGGAUCUCUAUAUCGUCAAUUACCUCUCUUCAUGCCCCGUCAAACGCUCUUACAACCAUAUGACUAGUUCGCAUGUGAGAGGGAUCCACUGGAAGCUUUGAUAAUGUCGUCAGAGGCAUAACAUUAAUAGAUGAUCCAUUAUCAAUAAGCACUUUGGCCAUAAUGUGGGGCUUACACUUGAUAGUAACAUGUAAAGCUUUAACACUAACACGUCCUUCCGGAGGUAUUUCAUCAUCAUUGAAGGUGAUAAAAUUCGGGGCUAUAAUAUUUCUAAUCAUGUGAUCUACCUUCUCAACAAAAAUGUUAUGCUCAACAUAAGUUUGGUAGAGCACUUUCAGCAAAGCAUUCCUAUGCGACUCAGAAUUUAAUAGUAACAAUAGUAAGAAAAUACGAGCUGAUAGUUUAUUUAACUGAUCAACCACACUAUACUCACUGUGUUGAAUGAUCUUUAGAAACUUACAAGCUUUUUUUUUUUAUAUCGAUUUGUUAACUUGCACUUCCAAGCUUACCACCGGUUGAAAAUCUUAGCUUUUCCUUGUGUCUUCUUCUCCUAUCUUGUCUUUCCCUUUUCUGGUCCUUUUUGACAUUUCAAGAGUAUAAAUUUGACCACUUCGGGUUAUUUCUCUUAUUCUCGCUAUGUUGGCGGUAUUAUCCAUAUUUGGAUUAUUCGAGGUUAUAUUAAGCCCUUACAUCACUACAUCAUAAUCGUAUCACCAUGGGACUGCUUUGUUGGUCUGAUAAGGGAAUAGACUAGGGAUAUAAAUGGUCAUUGGUAUCCUGAAAGAGGAGAUAGUUUUCUUAGUUAGGGGCUCUGGUUUUUCAUCAUAGUAGACAAUAAGAGGUUUGGGGAUAAAAGACUUGCCAGGACGCUCGUCGCCCACUGUAUUCACAUUAUUUUCAUCAUAUUCAUCAUAGAACUCAAUGAUGGCCUCAUCCAUCAAGCUCUGUAAUGUUUGCUUAAAGACCUCGCAACUUUAGAUCGAAUGUCCAAUUGUUUUCCCAUGGUAUUUGCAAAAAUGGUCAGGGUCUUCAUGAAUUCCAUUUUCAUCCAAAAAUAAUGAUUGAAUCAUGCCCGUCUCAUACAAACAGUCGUACACCCAUUCAAGAGAGGUUUUCACUUCAUCCAUGCAUUUUUUGAUCUUCACAUAUUUUUCCUUACCCACUAUAUUGAUUUUUCCUUCGGUGUGAUUUGGCAAAGAGUUUUCACUAACACUUGGCUUGAAUUUAGUAUCAAAAGACAAAAGCCCAUCAUUUAUCAAACCUUGCACCUUGUAUUUAAAUACCGUUUAAUUUUCAGUAGAGUGUCCUAUAACUCCGUAAUGAUAUUCGCACUUAGCGUUAGGGUCAUACCAACUUAGGUAAAGUGAUUUUAAUGGUUUCGCAUAAGUAGGAGCGACAAGGUGGUCUCUCAUUAGCUAAGGGUACAAAUCGGUGUAUGACAUGAAAAUUGGGUCAAAAUGAUGUUUUUCCCGAUUGCUAUUAUUCUGUGAGUUUUUUUUAUUGCUGUUUGGGUAGGUUGAUCGGGUAAAUAGUCGAGCUGGAGGUACGAAGGUGUAAUUGGAUGGUUGAGGGCUAAAACUUGGUCUGGGUAGCAGUUAUUAGGGUGCUCGGUAAUGGUAUGAUUGUUGAGAGAUUUGGUUUGUGGUAGGGUAGUAAGGGGAAUAUGGAUUAUAUGGGAUAAAAAGAUGGUGUGAGGGAUUUCUGUGAGUGACAUCAUAUGUCUCCCGCUCUUUCUUCUUUAAAGUUACUGUCUUUUUUUUGGACCCUUCAAUUUUGCCACUUUUGAUAGCAUUUUCUAUGAUCUCUCCUGAGAUUACCAUGUCAGAGAAGUUUUUCAUGGCAUUCCCCACCAAUCUGUCAUAAUACGGGGCCUUCAGUGUAUUGACAAAUAGCAUAUUUAUCUUUUUUUCAGUCAGUGGUGGUUGAACCUGGACCACUACAUCUCUCCAUCGAUGUGCAUAUUCCUUGAAUGUUUUCAUCAAUUUUUUCAUCAUAUUUUGCAAUGACAGCCUAUCAAGGGUUGUAUCCAAGACAUGCUUAUACUGAGCAAGAAAAAUUUUGGCCAAGUCUUUUAACGAACGAAUCUUGCUCUGAUCUAACUGCACGUACCAUUUAGCUACUGAACUAGUCAAACUAUCUUGAAAACAGUGUAUCAAUAGUUUGUUAUUGUAGGUAUGACCCGUCUUCUUUCUACAAAAUAUGGUAAUAUGAACAGAAGGACACUUUGUUCCAUCAUAUUUCUUGAAAUCUGGGGUCUUAAAUUUUGGUGGGAUGACCAAGUCAGGCACUAGGCUGAGCUCAUUGGCGUCAAUAACCCCAUAAAUGUUAUUACCUUCAACCGUUUUGAGCCUUUCUUCAAGUUGGUCAUACUUGUUUCAAAUUUUUGAAUUUAUAACAGGUUUUGACAUUUCGUGAGACUUUUUUUAUUCAACAAGGUCAUCAAGAUUAGGUACCAUGAUGGGAUCAACUGAGAUGGGUCCCGAAUUAGUGUUCAAGUGGGUCGGUUGUUGACUUAAGAAUGAUAGGGGUAUGGCUGUGCACUUGGUGGUUGUAUGUAUACACCUCGAGAAACUUGAACCUAAACUUAAGGCGGAGUGAAUCCCGGAGGGUAUAAUGGCUCUUCCAUAUUGACUUCAUCUCCUAUCCUUGACGCGUCAGUGACUCCUUUUCCUUUCAUUGAACCAAGCAAUAAUUGUCUUAAUUCAGCCAUUUGUGCUUCGAUGCUUUGUUGUAUUUCUAUCACUCUUUCUCGUAUCUCCUCCUAUGCCCUUUCGACCCUUUCAAAUCUAGUUGUAUUCUCUUCUUCCAUGGCUCGAGUCUGAGAACGAGUAUUAUAUCUAUACAAAAUUGAUGAAUUUUGAUUCUUCGAUUUUACUAUCCUUGAACCUUAGUUUAUUAACCAUGAAUUUGAUUGCAUGAUAUAAUGUCGUUGAUAUUAUUGUUAGUAUUUACAUUUAUGAAAAUGCAUGCAUGAAAUGAAUGAAAUGCAAAUUAGGGUACUGUCCUGGAUCGAUCGAAACAAAAAGAAACUUUCAUUAACCAUGGGAGUCUUUAUAUAUCAUCCGAUCAUUCUUGCAUUAAAGCCAUAAAAACAUUUGAUUUGAGUAUAUUGCUCCCUAGCUUCAUACAAAAAGUACAAUAAUCUUUGACUGUGACCUUAGGUUGGUACAAUCUCCCAUUUCAGUGCUUUCGCCUUUUCAACCAUGUUGCUUAUUUUUCGAAUAGCCUUGUAGAUUUGAGCAGUCAGAUGUUCAAUGUAUUGCUGCCUUCCUAAAUUUUUUGCUCUCCACAUCUCUCGAGCAUCUACCUCCAUAUUGUAAGUGUGAGCCCAAUAAUCCUCUCUUUCUUGCCACUCAGUCAAAAUCUUGUCUAUGUGACUCUGAUUGCUUGUCAAUUGAAGCUCCAAGCUCAUUAAUUCAUGCUCUAAGGCUUUUUUCUCACUUUGUAAAUCGGAGUUCUUAUUUUGUUCCCUUCUUAGUUUAACUUUUAGCUUUUCACUUUCUCUUUGGUGCCUUGCUACCUUUUCAGAAGCUCCUGAAAGUUUUUUUUUCCAUUCAUGCUAUUUUUUGGUGAGUGUGGAGAUCAUUUUCUUGUUCUCUCGAACUUUGUUCUUCCAAUAUUCUAUCAUGUCUCGUAGUUUUUUCAUAUCUUUCUUGGAUCUAUUCAAAGGUUACUACCCAACCUCAAUUUUUUAGUUUUUUGAUGUAGAUUUUACAGAUAUUCACUUUUCAUUUUUUAGUCAACUUCUGUACUGCAUCAUCUCUCAUCAUCAAAUCAUAUAUUAAUUGGUUAACCUGAUCCAUCAUAGCCAUCUUUUCUUUCUUCAACCUUUUCUUUUCAAUCUCAAACUCUUGUUAAACGAUCUCAAAAGUCGAUAAUAUCGGUACUGAAAUAGGAACUGGCAACUUCUCUAAAACAUCGACUGGUAGAGGCCUAAUUUCGUUAACCUUUUUUAUCCUUCACGUAAGGUAACCUUUUGUAAUAUUAUCUGUGAAUCUAGUUGGACUCAUUCGGUUGACCUGCUUCCAUGCUUUGAUGAUUUCACAAACCUUUUUCACAUAAUCGGGUUUUUCAUAAUCAAACUCAAAUGAACUAAACUUAUGAGUCAUAGGGAUGAAUUACCGUGAGUCAUAUUAUCUUUGAACCAUAAAGAACGCGUAACUCACUGCCCCCAUAUCCCUAACAAAGGUACCCAUGACUCGUCUCCACAACUCUACAAGAUGGCCAUCGAAAGCAUCCAUGGUGCCAUCCAUGUUACAUCAUCGCUAGUGAGCUUUAGAAAGAAUGCCAACCACUGAUUUUUUGUCCAAUCUUUUCUCCAUUCUUUAGCAAUAAACUCUUUGAUAGGACUAAAAUGCAUAAAAAAUGGCUAAAAUGAUGUCUUUUCUUUCCCCUAAAAAUGGUUUCUGAACAAGACAAAAAGUAAUUGAGCACACCCCAUAAAUUGUCCUUGACUUUUUCUUCGAUAAAAAUUAAGUGAUCUAAUAGUCUCUGCCAAAAUAAUUGGUGAAGGGUUUAUACCUUUAUCUAAUUGCUUAAAGAAAUCAACCACUAAUGCUUAUAUAUGUCCUAACACCUUAGGGAAUAUCAUCAAUCCAUAUACGACCAAAGCAAACACAUCCAACCCCUAAUCAGUAUCAAUAUACUUUUUUAUGUACUUGAGCAGAAAAGCUGAUGGAAUGAUCUUAACCCCGUUCUUUUCCUUUUUGUGCUUAUCUAUCUCUUCAACCUCUACUUGCAUGAUCUUGGCUAACUUCUUUCUAUAUCUGACAGUCUUAUGCUCUUUUCAAUAGAUCUUAUCUUGAUUGGUAGACUCUAUCCGGAGUAAAAAAAAAUAUUCUUCUAUUGUGGGGGCCAAGUCUUAUUGGUUGAAUACAAAGCAUCGAUAAGAUGGAUCCCAGAACUAUAUUACGGCUCUCAUUAGCUGUUCAUCAACCUUUACUUACAUAAGCAGUGCCACAUCCCUAUAUUUCUUGGAAAAAGAUUCCUUUUUCUCUGUUCUCCACUGUUUCCAAAUGGCUUCCAAUUUUGAUAUAUUAUUCUGACUAAGAUCCAUAUGCACUGACUGUGGUACCGUCGAUACGUAACUAUCUACUAAGCAAUCUCCUUCUUUCCCUUGAAUACUUUUUAAAUGGCUCUUAACCUCUAAGUAACUCUUACACACAGACGACAUCCUUUUAGGUUUUUUGAAAGUUUUUCUUGUUGAAAUUGAUCCAAAACAAUACCUUUUAGAAAUAUGGUGCAUAUAUGAUGCAUGCAACAAAAUUGAAGACAACAAAACAAAUCAAUAAUGUAAAUAAAAAAAUAAAUAAAAAUGAAUAAAUGAAUGAACAAGUAUAACUUACGUCAUAAUAGAAUAUACAUAGUGUCCUAAUUUAGGUAAUUUUCUCAUAAAAGGGAUAGUAUGGCUCUAUCCUAAAGUUGGACCUUACGGUUCACUAUAUGCCGGGUUAAGAUUUAUGUGUCUAAAGGUUCCCAGACUAUUUCUCACAUCAUCGUCCAUUAUAGACUAGUAAGGUUCCUCGAUCCUUACCCAUUACAGGCUACUAACAGAACGGGUUCAAUCUGAGUGAAAGUGUUUCGCUAGCAAAUGCGGAGGUUAUCACCUCACGAGAGCGUAGCUACUUCACUUCCUCCUAAAAGGGAUAGAGCUCGGGUUUAGAGCUUAUGCAUGAAUAUGCAAAGUGUGUGCAAAAUAAUAUAUUAAUCAAAAUACUAUAAACACAAAAUUAAAAUAAAAUAACAACUAACAUACAAUUUAGCUUAUUCAUUAGCAUAUAUAUUUUUGAAAAAUCAAAAUAAAGGAGAUUAAAUGAAAUGUUAAAUAAAACUAAUUAAAUUCAAUGAUUCUUAAUAGCGCAUAACUAAAAGUUUUGUCUUGACUCUCGAAAAUUUUUCCUAGUGGAGUUGCCAAGCUAUCAUAACAGUUUUGGGAUCACUAGACGUAAAGUAUUUUAAAAUCGAGAAAAAUAAAAGGGGAGUAGCCACCAAUCUUUGUUAGGGUGUGAUUGGCCACCAAAAAGUUUAUCCUUUUAAUAAAACUAUAAAAACGAGUUUAAAGUUUAUCAAAAAGAUAAAUUUUGAUCUACGAAAAAUCAGGUUGGGUCCAGGAGUCGGUUACGUGUGGAGAAAGAUUAGCACCCCCACAACGCCCGUAAAUUGGUACCAUUUAAUUACGCGUUAUUUUCGAUGUUGGAUAGAAAUGGUUUUAAUUUAAAAUUUAAGACUAAUUCUUUUUCUUUGGAAAAAUAAAAUGCUGCUAAAAUUUUUAUUUAGAAAUAUUGAAAAAAUUUUUAAGUUAAAAAAUUAUCUUAAAAUUCUCCAACAUCUAGGCAAAAUUUAAAAUAACUCUUUUCUCUUAAGAUUUAACACAAUAAUCCUUAAAAUGAAAUAACAAUCUUUAUAGAAAAUAAUUGUUAAUGACUCUCCAACAUCUAGGUAAAGUACCAAGAAUUAUUUCUUUCAGAAUGUUAUUUUUAUUUUAUUUUAUAAUAUCAUAAAAAAAACUUUAAAAGUAUUAUUCUUUUUUAUUAUAAAAUAUUUUAUCAUCAAACAAUAAAUUAAAGAGAGAAUAAUGCAGACAAUUAUUGAUGAUAACAUGCUAAUGUAUGUAUGCUAAUGAAUGUCAUGUAAAAUGAAAUGCAAUUUAAAAGUUGGGUUCUUAAGUAUAAUGAGACCACCCCGACUCUUCAACAUCUAGGCAAAGCUUGGUGCGACUAUUUAUAUUUAAGAUCCCAAUUUACUAUUAUGCUUUUUAUUUAUUAAUCUUAUUAUUAAAAUGAGUUAGGAACUCGUGUGAAAAACUUAAUGAAAUGGAGUUUUCUAAAUACCCCAUCAUUUAGGCAGCAUUCGAGAACAAACCAUUUCAUGUGAGAUUUUUACACGUAUCCUUAAAGUUUUGAAAUAGAUUUAGGGUAAAAUUUUAGGGUUUAAGUUUAGGGUUUGGGGUUUAAUUAAAACGCGAACAUCUUUAAAAAUCCUCAUCAUCUAGGCGGACUUUCGGAGCAAGUUUAAUUUUUUAUAAUUUUUGAAAACUAAUUAAAAAAUUCUUAUAUAUUUCUGUUUAUGAAAAUUUAUUAAUAAUAAUUCUCCAACAUCUAAGUGGACUUUCGAAGCAAGUUCAAUUUUUUAUAAUUUUUGAAAACUAAUUAAAAUUUUCUUAUAUAUUUCUUUUUAUGAAAAUUUAUUAAUAAUAAUUCUUCAAUAUCUAGGUGAAAUUAUUUGUUUAGGAAAAUAUUUUUUAUUCCCUCCAACAUUUAAGUAGGAAAAAUAAAAAGCUUAUUCCAUUAUUAUUAUUAUUUAAAUAUUUUUUUAUUUUUUUUAGUUAUUAUCCUAUCUUGUUUUCAUUUUAUUAUUAUUAAUAACAAUUAGAUAUUUAUCCUAAUAAAUUUAAAUAUUCAUCUUGCAUAAAUAUAAAAACUUAAAAUAACAAAAAUAAUAAUAUAUAAAAAAAUUAGAAAAUUAAAAAAUUUUUUUUUACUUGAACCGGACAGGUCAACGGUCCGAUCAACGCUGGUCUGAGCUGAUCUGACUAGUUUGACAGUUCAAUCAGCGGUUUGACGAUCCAGCAGUUCGGAUCGGUUCACUGGCAGUUCGUCUGUACUAGUUCAAGGCUGGCUGAAGCGGGUCGUCGGGUCGGGUUGCACGGAUCUCGAGUCGGGUUCGGUCCACGCGUGGAUCCUCUACGCUUAAAACGGCGUCGUUUUGGUCCUAUGCUCAAAAUGACGUCGUUUUGCCCUUAUGUUUUCUAUAAAAAUCAGAUUUUUUUUUCGUCAAUUCAUUUCAUUUCACAGAAGAAAAAACUUUAGUUCUCUGGCUUCCGCCGAAAUCUGGCGCCAGACGUUGUGCCUACCAUCAUGUGGGUCGCCUUCGGCGACGGUCAUCAGUGACCGAAAAAGCGUCAGAAAGUCACCAAAAAUUCCUCUCGACGCUUUCUUUCCAGAUCUGACAUUCGUUUGGCCUGAAAGUGCCUUGAUAGUCACGAGUCGAUCUUCGAAGUUUCUGAUCUCUCCUCUUUUUCUUUUUUUUUUGGGACGGCUUAAAUUGAUGAUUUCUCCUUCUUGUUUCAGGUGGCUGUGGCACUAAGGUUUCUCCCUGUGGGGAGGACUGUGUUUUUUUUGUGUAGAUCUGUUUCGUUUUCGAUUUGGGUAUUUUAGGGGGUUGCUUAAAAUUUAUUUUUUAUGCGUGGGAAUGGGGGUCUGUAUGGGGGUGUUGAGAGUGUUUUGAGAAAGGGGAGUUCGUCUGAGCUCGAGGUUUUCGUGGGGGUAGAUUGAAUGUGUAUUCUUUUUUUUUCAGAUAGCGUCCAAGAGAGCUGAAGGAAAAAAGGGAUGGGGAUUUUAAAGAGCUUCAAUUAAGGGGAUCUGGGUGGCUGUAGGUGGGCUGAACAAGGAGCUGGUUAGGGGGCUGGACAGAGGCCGCAACGACGCCGUACCAGCCCCUAGUUUCUGUCUCAUUUCUCUUCUUUUUUUUAAUUAUUGAUUUUUUUUAAUUAUUAUAUAUUUUUUAAAAAAUUUAUUAUUAUUAUUAUUAUUAUUAUUAAACUAAAACGAAAACAGUAGAUCGAACAAAAUCAGUGUCUACGAUUAAAAAUAAAAAUGAAAAGUAAAACUAUCGAUUAAAGAAAACCUUGACAAAAUGACAUUGCAAAUAAUUUCUCUUAAGCUUAUAAAAAAUAAAUUAAAUAAAAUAAAGUUCUCCCUUUAGAUUAGAGAGCGGUGUAUCCUUGCUCUAUAUAUUUGACCUCACGAUUAGCUUUUUACCAAAUGAUCUUGACAAAUGCGUGCGCUUAACAAAAAACGAAAAAAAGGUGGCAUUGCAAAUCUCAUAAGCUUACCAAAAAAUAAAAUAAAUAAAUAAAAGUUCUCUCCAAACUGUACUAUAUAUAAUCAGAUUCAUGGCCUGCUCGCUUAAAGCUACAAGCAGCCAAAUAGCCACAUCUUUCUUUCUCCUCUGUAAAUGAAAAUUAUCUUUGCAACCCGAACUCAUUAUUUCUUCCUCCCUGGAGAUAACGUGUUAUGUUUGAUAAUCUUCACAACAGAAAAGAUGGAUCUCUCUCUCUCUCUCUCUCUCUCUCUCUCGCUUUUGAUUCUUUACUGGAUAUUUAGAAAGGAGUUUUUCUUUUCCUUUUUUUUUUUUUGGAUCUAGUUUUGGUAUAUUAAUUUCUAUGGAAUUUAGUCUCUCGGUUGUUUCUGCUGCUCUAAUAACCCUGCUCUAGCUUACCUGAGAAUGGAUUGGGUUGGCUCCGAUCAUUUAUAGUAAUUCAUCACACCCUGGACGUUAGGUCGGACCAACAUACCAAACCAUUAAAACCUAAUUAUAAAUAUAUUUUUAGAGUUUAAAUUCAAUCCGGACUAGCUAGAGGUGUAACCUCGUGCGGUUUACCGGUACUGCCACAUGGAGCAUAGGUUUUAACUUUUGGAGGAGUCAUGAACAAGGUUUUCCGUACCGGUGAGCGUUCAAUUUUGCUCCUAUAAUAGUAUGUGUCGCUGCCGAUAUGAUUUGGUAUGUUUCAGAUUUACCAACGUCGUCUAAUAACUUUCUAUAAUAUAUACAUAUACAAACACAAAAUCAGGGAUGGUCGUGGGAGCCGGAGGAUCCUUGACUCCGCCAUGAAGUAUAUGUCAAAAUUAAAAUAAAUUUAUAUUGACCCUUUCAAAACAAAAUUGUUAUUUAUUAAUUUUAUUAAUUUAUUUAUUGUUUAUAUCCUAAUCUUAUGCAUUGUAGGUUACGAAGAUUUAAUAUCACAAUUUUUUUUCCUCUUUAUUGUAUCCAGCCAUCAUUAUUCACAAAUUUUUAAAAUAAAUAAACUUUUUACAAAUAUUAAGUGAUAAUUCACUUUCUGGCUUUCUUAACAAAACUUGAAAUCUUUUUUAAUACAAGGAUUCUAAAUCUUUAACCAAGUACUAAAUAUAUAAGCUAGGAAUGAUGAAAAGAUGUAAAAAUAAAAAUUUCGUUGAUCUAAUAAUUAUAAUUUAUAAUCAUUUUCAUACUUUAUAACAUAACUAUUAAAUUAAUAAAUUUUACAUUUUUGUCAUUUUUCAUCAUUGCUACCAAACAAAGCAUUGUUUUUCUUUUUUUCCAAUGCAACUUCUCUUCAUAUCUUUCAAUUCUAUUCUGUAUCUUUGAGAUCAUUGUUAAUGUAUUUUGAUUAAUCAAUUAGGUUGUCACUUGACAGUCGCCAUUACAAAGUUAAAAUUGUUGUUAAAGUUUGUUUUUUAAAAUAUAUAUUCUUGUCUUUAUAUGGGUAAUCUUAAAUCUUUUGUAUUUUGUCAAAAAUUAGAGAUAAUUCUUUCUUAAUUUUUUCUAUAGUGCCAUUUAAAUUGAUUUGUCUUGAUUAUGAAAAAUUCUUCUUUUACAAAACUUGAUACUUUCAUUUUUUGAGAAUUUAUUAUGAAAAUUAAAUCAAUAGAUUUAAACAUUUAUGAAUCCAUAAAUUUUAUAAUUCUAUGAGAUUUUUAUUUUUUUCUAGUACAUUGCUUGCAUAUAUGAUAAAUUAUUUAUAUUAAUAAACAUAGUAGACUAUCACAAAUGAAAAAAAGUACAAUUUUGAUUGACUCUCAAAGCUAAAUGUCAAUAUCUGUUAUUGCACAUUUUCAUGGUAUACAUCAAAUUGUUUAGAUGUAAAUAUAAAUUUUAAAAAUGAUAAAGAUUUAAUAUCUAAAAUUUUUAGAUAUUAAACAAAUGAAAUAAAUAUAAAUAUUAGAAAAAUAUUGAGUUAUCAUUAAACAAUAUCCAUAGUAUAAUUUAAUGAUUAUGUUUUAAUUUUGAAUCAAAUGCUAAAAAAUAAAAAUAACCCUAAAAGAAAAAGUAUUAAGAAUUGAUUAAGUAAAUCAAAAGGAUUAAAUUAAAAUGUUUUAAAAAAAAAUUUUGUAUCAGUCGAUACGAGUAUGAUACAAUAUUAUUCCUGUAGCAUUCUGACUAAGGUGUAUUUUUUUUUUUCAUGUGAGGUCACUGUUGGAAAUAUUGACUCAAAUCCAAUAAGAGAUUUGUUUGAGAUUUGUUAGAGAUUUGUUUGAGAUUUGUCAGAUAUUGCUUGAUAGACAAGAAGAAUUCUAAGAGAAAAUAGAUUCUUAAUAGGUAAGUUUGACUUGUAAUAGAAGAAUUCUAAAAAACAAAAGAUUCUUAAUAGGCAAGUUUAACUUACAGAAGAAGAAUUCUAAGAGGAGAGAGAUUCUUAAUGGAUAAGUUUAUAUGGUUAUAAAUAUGUGAAGUCUCUACAGGGUUAGGUAUGAGAAAAAGAUGUAAGAGAGUUGUAGGGUUUUGUGAGAUAGACACUCCAUAAGAGUAUUGGAGCUCUACAUCUUAAGAGUGUGUAUGUUUGUUUGUGAGUGGACUAGAAAAGAUUAAGAGGUUCCACAUAGGUAUGAUGUAUAGGAGCAUAUGGGUAUGUGUUUGGUUAUGUUGAAAGGGUGCACAAGGGUUUGGGUUUGUGUUUGUUUGGAUUGAGAAUACUCCAUAGGACUAGAAGAGAUUGAGAGUGUCUUAUGAGUAUUGAUUGUUGAGUGAGGUUGAUGAUUUGAUGUAUGUUUGUAAUUCUUUACAACUAGUGGAUCUUAUUUCCCAUCCGUGGAUAUAGGUCAGUUGGAACAAAUCACGUUAAAUUAUUAUCUCUUGUGUGUUUGAUAUAUUGUUUGAUUUUGCUUCUACUGGUGUGAUUGGAUUGGAGGCUUUUAGCCCAAUAAAUGGUAUCAGAGCUGUGGUGUUCCCCAACAAGUGGCAUCAGAGCUGAAGGUUCGAAACGUAAGAAGAGUUGAAGAUUCAAGAUGUGGGAAGAACCGAUGGUUCGAGACAUGGAAAGAGUUGACAGUUCGAGAUAUAGGAAGAGCUUGGUUUAAGACAUGAGAAGAAAUAAGCUUAAAGGAGCUUGAUUCAAGAGAAGAGUUCGAGUUGAAGUUUUGAAGAUUGAGGAUUAAUUUGUAUGAAGCGUGAAGACACAAGAGAAGAGAAGAUGAUUGUGAGACUUCUAUUGCAGGUGAAGCCAAGCAUGUCUAGCAUGAAGACAGAUGAUUGAUGAAAUUUGAGUUAAAGUGGAGAUUGUUGGGAAUAUUGACUAAAAUCCAAUAAGAGAUUUAUUUGAGAUUUGUUUGAGAUUUGUCAGAUAUUGCUUGAUGGACAAGAAGACUUACAAAAAAAGAAUUGUAAGAGAAAAUAAAUUCUUAAUAGAUAAGUUUGACUUGCAAUAGAAGAAUUCUAAAAAGAAAAAGAUUCUUAAUAGGCAAGUUUAACUUACAGGAGAAGAAUUCUAAGAGGAGAGGAAUUCUUAAUGGACAAGUUUGUAUGGUUAUAAAUAUGUGAAGUCUCUACAGGGUUAGGUAUGAGAAAAAAAUGUAAGAGAGUUGUAAGGUAUUGUGGGAUAGACAUCUCAUAAGAGUAUUGGGGCUCUACGUCUUAUGAGUGUGUAUGUUUGUUUGUGAGUGGACUAAAAGAGGCUGAGAGGGUCCACAUAGGUAUGAUGUGUAGGAGCAUAUGGGUAUGUGUUUGGUUAUGUUGAAAGGGUGCACAAGGGUUUGGGUUUGUGUUUGUUUGGAUUGAGAAUACUCCAUAGGACUAGAGGAGAUUGAGAGUGUCUUAUGAGUAUUAAUUGUUGAGUGAGGUUGAUGAUUUGAUGUAUGUUUGUAAUUCUCUACAACUAGUGAAUCUUGUUUCUCAUCCGUAGAUGUAGGUCAGUUAGACCGAAUCACAUUAAAUUAUUAUCUCUUGUGUGUUUGAUUUAUUAUUUGAUUUUGCUUCCGUUGGUGUGAUUGGAUUGGAGGCUUUUAGCUUAACAAAUGGUAUCAGAGUUGUGGUGUUCCCCAACAAGUGGUAUCAGAGCUGAAGGUUCGAAACGUAAGAAGAGUUGAAGAUUCAAGAUGUGGGAAGAGCCGAUGGUUUGAGACAUUGAAAGAGUUGACAGUUCGAGAUAUGGGAAGAGCUUGGUUUAAGACAUGGAAAGAAAUAAGCUUAGAGGAGCUCGAUUCAAUAGAAGAGUUCGAGUUCAAGUUUUUAAAAUUGAGGAUUAGUUUGUAUGAAGUGUGGAGACACAAAAAAAGAGAAGAUGAUUGUGAGACUUCCAUUGUAGGUGGAGCCAAGCAUGUCUAGCAUGAAGAUAGAUGAUUGAUGAAAUUUGAGUCAAGGAGGAGAUUGUUGGGAAUAUUGACUCAAAUCCAAUAAGAGAUUUAUUUGAGAUUUGUCAGAUAUUACUUGAUGGACAAGAAGACUUACAAAAGAAGAAUUCUAAGAGAAAAUAGAUUCUUAAUAGGUAAGUUUGACUUGCAGUAAAAGAAUUCUAAAAAGAAAAAAAUUCUUACUAGGCAAGUUUAACUUACAGGAGAAGAAUUCUAAAAGGAGAGGGAUUCUUAAUGGGCAAGUUUGUAUGGUUAUAAAUAUGUGAAGUCUCUACAGGGUUAGGUAUGAGAAAAAAAUGUAAGAGAGUUGUAGGAUUUUGUGGGAUAAACACCCCAUAGGAGUAUUGGGGCUCUACGUCUUAUGGGUGUGUAUGUUUAUUUGUGAGUGAACUAGAAGAAACUGAGAGGGUCCACAUAGGUAUGAUGUAUAGAAGCAUAUGGGUAUGUGUUUGGUUAUGUUGAAAGGGUGCACAAGGGUUUGGGUUUGUGUUUGUUUGGAUUGAGAAUACUCCAUAGGACUAGAGGAGAUUGAGAGUGCCUUAUGAGUAUUGAUUGUUGAGUGAGGUUGAUGAUUUGAUGUAUGUUUGUAAUUCUCUACAACUAGUGAAUCUUGUUUCUCAUCCGUGGAUGUAGAUCAGUUGGACCGAACCAUGUUAAAUUAUUGUUCUUGUGUAUUUGAUUUAUUGUUUGAUUUUACUUCCGUUGGUAUAAUUGGAUUGGAAGCUUUUAGCCCAACAAAUGAUAUCAGAGCUGUGAUAUUCUCCAACAAUCACUUUCAACGAACGUUCAUGGUAAUUUCAUGUCCAUCUUCGUGAUCAAUUGCUUCAUUUCUGUUGACUUUGAUAGAGCAAUUGCUAGAUAAACGGACGACUAACGAAUUUUUUAUUAUUAUUAUUUCUGUUGUUUGUAUUUUUUUUUAAAGUAACAUCUACUCUAAGUUAUCAUUAUUGAUGGUAAUCUAAAGUGAUGGUUUGUGGAAUCUGUCGCCACUUAUAUUGUCGUAUUUGUGUGAUACACCAAGAAUUUGUUUCGCUUCACUUCUUUUACUAUUUUUUUUCAUUUUCUAUGUCAACAUCAUCGGUGCUAUAGAUGAUUGUUAGCUUUUUUUAUUUUAAAAUUCUGAUGCUGUAGUUUCGUGAGUGUUCAGUACUCCAUAGACCAAAAUUAUUCAUUAGGUUGAUGCUAUAUUUUUUUUAUUGAUUAAGCACAGUGCAGACAAAGCAAAAAUACAGAAAGUGGCAAAAAAAGUUUCGCUGGUAAUAUCUAAUUGCGGCAAAGUCCGCUGUUUAUUAGAUCCUUGGCAAUGCGAAAGUAACCUGCAGCCUCCAAUUUUUCAUCUAUCCGUGUCUUCAAUGUUAGCCGUUGCAACAAAGUUGAUGUACAAAUAAUCUUUUAUUUCUGUCCUCAAGUAUAGUAAAUAUGAACUUUCUUAGUAUUAUCCACGAGAUAAACCAGGAAUUGUUUUGCUUCAAUUUUCUAACUUUUUUUUUUUUUAAUUCUACUAUGUCAAAGUUGUCGUGCUACAGCCUAUAGAUGAUUGUUCCCAUUUCUGUUUUGAAAUUGUGUUGCGGUGAUGCUUAUAUAAUAUUAUUUCAUCUUCUAGAAUUCCAAUAAUGAUCGUAGAAGCAAUCGUUCGAUAUUGGUGUCAUAACGGUUUUGAGAUCGUCAAACGUAAAAGAGUUUUAAAAUCGAAGUAAAUGAAAGAGGAGUCACCACCAAUCUUUGUUAGGAUGUGAUUGCUCACUCAAAAGUUUAUCUUUUUAAUAAAACUAUAAAAACGAGUUUAAAUUUUAUCAAAAAGAUAAAUUUUGAUCUACGAAAAAAAAUAGAUUAAGUUCGAGAGUCGGUUACAUGUGGGGAAGGAUUAGCACCCCCCACAACGCCCAUAAAUUGGUACCAUUUAAUUAUGCGUUAUUUUCGGUGUUGGAUAAAAAUAGUUUUGACUUAAAAUUUAAUACUAAUUCAUUUCAUUUGAAAAAAUAAAAUUUUGUUAAAGCUCUUUAUUUAGGAAUUUCGAAAAAAUCUUGAAGUUAAAGAAUUAUUUUAAAAUUCUCUAACAUCUAGGCAGAAUUUAAAAUAAUUCUUUUCGCUUAAGAUUUAACACGAUAAUCCUUAAAAUGAAAUAACAAUCUUUAUAGAAGAUAAUUGUUAGUGACUCUCUAACAUUUAGGCAGAGUACAAAGAAUUAUUUUCUUCGGAAUGUUAUUUUUAUUUUAUUUUAUAAUAUCAAAAUUUUUUUUAAAUGUAUUAUUUUUUUAUUAUAAAAUAUUUUAUCAUCAAAUAGUAAAUUAAAGAGAGAAUAAUACCGACAAUUAUUGAUGAUAACAAGCUAACGUACGUAUGCUAAUGGAUGCCAUGUAAAAUGAAAUGCAAUUUAAAAGUUGGGUUCUUAAGUAUAAUGAGACUACCUCGACUUUUCAACAUGUAGGCAGAGUUUAGGUGCGACUGUUUAUAUUUAAGAUCUCAAUUUAUUAUUAUACUUUUUAUUUAUUAAUCUUAUUAUUAAUGUGAAUUAAGAACUCGUGUGAAAAACUUAAUGAAAUUGAGUUUCCUAAAUACCCUAUCAUUUAGGUAGCAUUCGAGAAUAAACCAUUUCAUGUGAGAUUUUCACACGUAUCCUUAGGGUUUUGAAAUAGAUUAGGGUUUUGAUUUUACAGUUUGAAGAUUUUAGGGUUUCGGUUUUAAAAUUUGAGGUUUGAGGUUUUGAUUUAAGGGGUUUGAAUUUUAGGGGGUUUGGAUUUAAGAGUUUAAAGGUUUGGGAUUUUGGAUUUUGAGGGUUUUGGAUUUUAGGGGUUUGGAUUUAAGGAAUUUUGGAUUUUUAGGGGUUUCGAAUUUUAGGAUUUUGAAAAUUAAGAAUUAGUGUUUAAGGUUUCAUUUUUAAGAAAAUGCCAACAUUUCUAAAAAUCUCCAACAUGUAGGCGAAUUUUCGAAGCAAGUUCGAUUUUUAUGAUUUUUAAAAACUAAUUAAAAAUUUCUUUAUAUAUAUAUUUUUUAUGAAAAUUUAUUAAUAAUAAUUCCCCAGCACCUAGGCGAAAUUAUUUCUUUAAGAAAACGUUUUUUAUUCCCUCCAACAUCUACGCAGAAAAAAUAAUAAUAAUAAUUCUAUUAUUAUUAUUAUUAUUAUUAUUAUUAUUAUUAUUAUUAUCUUUAGCAUUUUUAAUAUAUAUUUUUAAUUAUUAUCUUACUUACUUUCAUUUUUAUUAUUAUUAAAAUAAUUAAAAAUUUAUCCUAACAAAUUUAAGAACUUAUCAUGCAUAAAUAUAUAAAAAUACCUAAAAUAACAAAAAUAAUAAUAUAUAUAAAAAAAUUAGAAAAAAUUUUUUAAAUUUUUUUUUACUUGAACCGAACCGCUGGUCUAGACCGAUCUGUUUGAUUCGACGGUUCAAUCAGCGAUUCCAGCGAUCAGCGGUUUAUAUCGGAUCGACCGGUUCACUGGCGGUUCGUCCGAACCGGCUGGAGGGUGGCUGAGGCGGGUUGGCGGGUCGAUUUACGUGGAUCUCGGGUCGGGUUUGGUCCACGCGUGGAUCCUCUUAUGCUUGAAACGGAGUCGUUUUAGCCUUAUGUUCAAAACAACAUCGUUUUGCUUUUAUGUUUUCUUUAUAAAAGUCAACUUUUUUUUUCAGUUCAUUUUUCUAUUUCUGAGGAAAAAAAAAAGGAGAGAGAGCUCUGGGAAAGGUCCGGUGCUCUCAUCAUCUGACCGUCGGAGCACCACGUAGGCCACCACCUAGUCCACCGUCGACGACCAAAGGUGGUCGUCGGUGGUUGGAAACUUCAAAAUUGAUCAAGAGGUUUCGUUCAACCUUCUGAGCUCAGAUCUAGUGCUCAUUUCCCUGGAAACGGCCUUGAUUCGUGUAGAUUGGGUUUUGAAGUUUUCAAUAUUUUUUUUUCUUUUUUUUUUUCGAAAACUAAUUGAUACCUUUCUUUUUUGGUGCAGGUGACUCGACGUUGGGUUCUUCCCUACAGGAAAGACUGUGUUUUAUUUUUUUGUAUUUUUGUAUAUCUGUUUGGAUAUUUGGGAGGUGUUUGGUUUGCAUUUUUUUUGUGUCUGAGAGAUUUUUUUGGUGGUGGCUAUUGAUUUGAGUGUGCAUGUUUUUUGGUGUUCUGGUGAGGGGAUCUCUGACCGUUUUAGAGAAAGGAGAUCAAGUAUUUUAUAAGAUUAGAAACGGUGAUUAUGUGUGUUGAUGGAGUGAAAAGAUUGGACGAGGGGUGAUAUGAUGAUUGGGGUAGCUUGACAGGGCGUAAGUGACUAGCAGUACCAUACACGACACCCGCUGGCAUCAACCUUUUCAUUUUAUUUCUUCUUCUAUUUGAAUUUUUCGUUUGUCUUUUUUAAAAAAAAAUUUUUUUUUAAUUUUUUAAUUAAUUAAUUAAUUUUUUUAAUUAUAAAAAAUAUAAAUUCGAAUAAAAUUUGGUGUCUAGUGACUUUCGUUAGUUUUCCGCUCGAGACUUUCGGCCAGAUAGUGAUGUUACAGUAUAUAUUUUUUGUGCUAUAGACAAAGAACUGAAUUGCUUCAAUUAUUUUACGUACUUUUUUCUUCGUUUUUUAUGUCAAAGUCAUCGGUGGUAAAGUUGCAUAACUUUUUUCAAUUUUUAAUUUAUGUCUAGACGAUAUUUAUUAAUACAUUAAUUUUUUCAUCUAUUACAAACGAGUCGGUCGGUUUUGGUACACUGUUGUGAAUGUUCAUCGGUAGACCAAAACUAUUUGUCCAUAUGCGAAUAUGUUAUUUAAAUUUCCCCUGUCAAUUUUCGCAAGGAGUCGCACGAUUUCGAAAGACGUUCGAAAGUGCUCGGGCGAUGGAAAGUGCACGAUAAAGCAACGGUGGAUCAAAACUAUUUGUCCAUAUGCGAACGCAAGGAGUCCAACGAUUUCGACAGACGUUCGAAAGUGCACGAAACUGCAACGGUAGACCAAAACUAUUUGACCAUGUGCGAAUAUGUGAUUUAAAUUUCACCUGUCAAUUUUCGCAGGGAGUGGCACGAUUUCGACAGACUGUCGCAAGUGCUCGGGCGAUGGAAAGUGCACGAUGAAGCAACGGUAGACCAAAACUAUUUGUCCAUAUGCGAAUAUGUUGUUUAAAUUCAUCUGUCAAUUUUCGCAAGGAGUCGCACGAUUUCGACAGACUUUCGUACGUGCUCGCGCGAUAAACCAACGGUGGAAAGUGCACGAUAAACCAACGACAGACUUGAGAGGAUUCAUCGUAUUUUAUUGCCGAUUGAACAAAAAAAACUUAUAAACUUUGAUUGCCAAAAUUUUCUUUCGAACCAAAAUAAAAAAUCUAAAAAAAAUUAAGUGAGAACAAGGUAAUUUACUCUAAAAGAGAAAGGGAAUAAAGCCAAAUUUUGAAAAUUUCCAAUUAAAUUUGGUUUUUCUACUCUUCACCUAUCCACUCCUUUACAAUUUUUUUAACUCCCUUUUGCUAUAUGAUGGUGAUGAUUGUUUUAAUAUUUUAUUAAUUAUUUAAAACUUUAUAUUUAUUAUUUUUAAAAAUUUACUUUUGAUAAUAUUUAAAUUAUUAUUAAUAUUAUCAAUGGACAAAGGGGUUGUGCAAUUCGGAGUGUUCAUAUAUUUCAUGAAACACAAUUGGCCACUUCAUCAUUGGAAAUAUUUUAAAAAUUUUAUUAUUUAAUAAUUCAUGAUUCACUUAAAUGUAUAUAUUUAAAGUCUAAAAAUGUAUUAAAUAUGAACUUAUUUUUAAAAUAUAAUAUUCAUCAUAAAAACGUGUCAUUAAUGAAAUGUUUAUAAUUUUUAAAGGUUUAAUCAAAUAUUUAUAAACUCACGUUUAUAAUUUUUUAAAAAUAUUUUAAUUUGUUGCUUGGCAAAUGUUAACGAAAUUGUUUUAAGGACACGAUUAACUCUUGUUCAUAAUCAAUUUUUUUUUUUGUAAAAAAAACCUGUAAUCAUAAAAAAAAAAUUAUAAGUGUUAAGAUUUAAAUUUUAAAUUUAUUUAAUAUUAUUUUUUUAAAAAAAUUAUUUAAAUUAAUUGAAUUUAAAUUUAAAUUUAUUAUAAUAAAAAUUUUUGAACUCAGAUUAUUUGCUCUUAAAAUUAUUUUUUAUAUAACUAUUUAUCUAAUAUUUUUAAAUUUUUUUAAUUAGUUAAUUCUUGUAUUUAUUGCGAGUUUCGGAUAGGUGUCUUAAUUAGUAUUUUCAUAUAAGAGCAGCUUUUCCACUUACCGUAAAUUCAUUUUAAUAGAAGUCGAUUACAAAAUAUAGAACAAUCGCAAAUUUAUUGCCUUAGCAGACCAUCAGGUCAUUAAAAUUUUGAAUUUCAAUGGGCAAUCAAUUAUUUAACUGUCAGAAAUCAAUACACUCUGGAUGAAAUAAACUAUUUCUGCGAGAUUUGUGAAUUUUUCGAAGAAAAAUAAUUUUUUAAAAAUAUUAAAAUUAAAAAAAAAGUUUUAUUUUGAAAAAAUUACAUUUCUCUUGCUCAAAGAGAUUUUUUAGUGAAUAAAUAAUAGUAUUUAGAGUUUUAUUAUAAAUUUUUUUAUUAUUAUUAUUAUUUAUAUUUAAAAAAUUUUAGUGUGUGUGAAUUACAUUCAAAAAUCAAAUUUAAACUUGAUCAUUGAUUUUUUUAAUAGAAUCAGUAUCGAAAUUAAUAUUAUAAAUCAAAUAAUUAUAUAAAUUUUUUUUUACAAUUUAAACAAUUUCUUUUUGUAUAAAAUCAAAAUUUAUUGAUUAUGUAAAAAGUUAUCAAUAUUUUAUAUAUAUAUAUAUUUUAAAAUAACCAACUUAUUAAAAAAUUUUUAAAAAUAAUUUAAAAAUUAAUGAGAGAAACUCAGCUGGCAGACAUUAAUCAAGAUCCUGAUCAAUUAAAUCAAGCAAGCAAGAAAUGUUCCUCUCCCAACAAAUGCCAAUUCCAGUCAAGAAUAAUAAUGAUGAAACAUGCAAAAACUCUGCAUUACGAAAUCAUCAAAUCUUAAUGCCCUCGAGUCUCAGCUCAAACAGAUAGGAGACGAAUUCUUAUUCAAAGAUCUUAUACCGGAGAAAAUUUACCACAAAUAGAUCUAACAGCACUGAAUUUAUUGUUUCAAUACUAAAAAAGAUGAAAUUUAUGGAACAAAUCAAGAACCAAUUUUUUCCAGACAUUCAAUCCAAUCUGAACAAUAUCCAAGGAUAAAAGUCCGACCAGGAGCAUCUUUCUGUCAAUGUUAAGUCCAACAUCAGCAAAUAAAAAAUACUGUAUAUAUCGUGUCAUCAUAAAGAAAUUGCCGACAUUUAACUCAACCAGAGUUUACUUUUGUUAAAAUUAACCUAACCCAGGUUAAUCUUUGUCUAUAAAUGGACUCUUAGGAUAGAAAUGAGGCACAGAUUUGACCCUGGAUCUUCACUUUUUUCUCCCUAUCAUCUCUCUUCUAUCCAACUACCAUCCUCUCUCAUUGUAGAAUGUCUCUGCAUCUUGGAAUGCUUUAGGCAAGCAGCGACAAAAUAUGGCCAAGCUAUAUUUUGAAUUUUUUAAAUUUGAUUGGAAUAAGAAUCAAAUUUAUUGUGAAAUUAAAUUAUUCUGAACUGAAUUUUAUUAUUUUAAAUUGGUUCAUCAGUUUUAAAAAUUAUAUUUAAAAUUUUUUUGCACUUUUUUAUACUAUUUUUAAUAGAUUUAAAUAAAUUUAAAUAUAAAAUAAGUAUUUUAAUUUAUAAAAUUUAAAUUUUAUGUAAAACUAAAAAAAUAUAAUUGAAUUCCACUCAAAUAUUUUUAAUUUUUUACUUCAUUAUCUAAAAAUCCAGCCUAAUCAAAUAAAAAAAUCAAUUUAAAUCAAAUCAAAAUACUAUAAUUUUGAAUUUAUUUUUGAUUUUCUAAAUUUUUUCUUUGGACCUUUUCAACAUGGUCAGAUCCUAAUCGAGCUCUCUGAGUCUAUCACAAUUUGCGAGGGGCUGACCUAGCCCAGGCUAUUGCAAAUUGCAAUGGCCAUAACUUGUCGCCCUUUAUCGGCCUAACUUUUCACCCACCAUUGAUAAAAAUUAGUGUAAAUUACAAUAAACCAUACCAAAAUAAUAAAACAGUCUUCGAAUUUUAUUAUUUUAUUUAAAUAAAUUUUUAUAUUUUUAUUAUAUUUAAAUAAAAUUUUAAUCUGUAAUUUGUAUUUAAAAAUCAUUUAAUAUUUAACUUAUAUUUAAAAAAUUUCUGAAUUUUUAAUUUAUAUUUAAAUAAAUCUUAAACAGUUGACAUAAAUAAAUAUUUUAUUUAAAUAAAAAUUAUUUGAAUACAAAUCAUAAAUCAAAUAUUUAUUUUAAUAUAAUAAAAAUAUAUAAAUUUAUUUAAAAAUAAAAUAAUUUAAAAACAUUUUUAUUAUUUUAACCUUCUUUUAAUUAUGUAAAGCUUUUGUAGUUGUCUUGAAAUUGAGACUUUAGACCCGGGAGGAUUAUUGGCAAAGUGAAACUCUUUUUUUAAUAAUUUAUAUAUUUAUUAGAUUUCAAAUUUUUAUUAAGUUUGACUUAAAUUACAAAAUAAAUUCAAAUUUAUUCAUUAAACUUGAUUUAUAAAAUAAAAAAUUAAAAAAUUCUUUCUUAAAGAAUAAAAUAUAAAAAUAAAAUUAUAUAUAUACUUACAUAAUUAUAAUAUUUUAAUUAUAUAUUUUAUUUGGAUCUAGAUUCAAACUUUAAUUAUUUUAUUAAAAAUUUAACCUAAAAUUUAAUCAAAUUUAAAAAUUAUAUUUAUAUUCAUUUAACAAAUUUUAGUUUUUUAUCUAAAUUUUUUUCAAAGCUUAAACGAACUUUCGAAUCUGAAUAAGUAUUUUAACCCCUAAACAAAUUUAUUUCCUCUAUCCAAUCUCAAUUAAAUAUAUAUACUUCUUUAUAUAUAUAAUACAAAAUUUAACAAUAAUAUAUUUUGCUAUUGUAUUUGAAAUUAAACAGAAAAAUGUACAUAGGUUAGAUAACUUUCCGAAGCAGAGUUGAAAUCACACCGAUCAAACAAAAAAAAGUUCAAACUAAAUUUUUACUAAAUUACGAGAGAGUUAAAAAAAAAAAUCAUAUCUACAUUUAAUUUCUACCAUACACAUUUGAAUAUCUGACUAUACUCCAAUCUUUGUGCAGGUUAUGCGAGAACUUGGCCAGAAAAGUCUUCGUCGUCGCUCGGAGUCAUGACAAAUCUAGGUGAGUAUGAAAGGUCUCCUUAUUUGCUAAAAAAUAAUAAAACAAUAAUUAGUGUUAUCAUAAAGUAAAUUAUCCAAAGAAAUAAUUAAAUAUAUUUUUUAUAAAUGCCAAAUUUUAUUCAUUCAAAAAAAGUACCAGACCUGCUACAAGAUAAACCUGGCUGCCAAAAUUACAGUCAGUCAAAAACAGAGUUACAAGAAAACUGAUAGUAAACUUUAUUAAUCCAUGUAGCACUAAAAUUUUUUUUUUUGAAAAGCAAAUGUAGAGAUAUAUUCGAAUAGAAUAUAAUCGAUACAGUGAUAAGUUUAAGUUCGACUCAUAACUCGUGGUUCGAUAUUCGGUUCGAACUUGAUCAAAUUAUAUUUUUCAAGUUUGAGCUCAAUUCAUGAUCGAAUUCGAGCUAUUCGAGCUCGUUCGAUUAAGCUUGAUUAAUAUGUAAAAACAAGUUCGAUUUGUAUACUCGACAAGAGUUUGAUUAUUUAUGCUCGAGUUCGAACUCGAAUUUGAAAUAUUUUAUUAAUUAAAAUAAUAAAAAUAUAUUUAAAUAAAAAAAUUCGAUUAAGCUCGUGAGAUACUCGAGUCGGAUAUAAAAAUACUCGAAUUUGGCUCGAUCGAUAAGUUGAGUUACUUGAGUUUGAGUUCGACUCCAUAAUAAUCAAACCGAAUUUGAGUUUUUUUCGAAUCGAACUCGAGUAGCUUAUGAGUACUAAUGUAUCAUUUACACCCCUAAUUGUGACAUCUGACCUCAUUUAUUGUUUGUCCUUUGUUGGUCUCAAUUUUUGUUUUAAUCUCAUUUUUAGCAUUCAGCUUUUUUAAAUUAUUUACUUCGACCUUUAAGUGUUUUCCAAAGUUUUUCUUAAAUACUUGUAAAUUUGUUACUUUUCAUCAAAAUUCUCUUUAACUAAUCCGUUUAGUCUCAUUAUAUAAUAUAAAUUUUCAUAUAAAUAAUAAGUUUUUUUUUUCUUUUAGUGAAGCUAUUUCCUUAUAUGCAAAUUUUAUGACAGGAAAAAAGCACAAUAAUCAUUUUGAGUAAUUUUAAUGCAUAAUAAACGAAAAUGUAAUUAUAAUAUUCAACAUAAAACUAAAUUUUAGCUAUAUAUAUAUAAUUUACAAUGUUAAUUGUAAAUCUGCUAUAAAGAAAUCAGGUAAUAAUUUUAAUGGAACGCAACUAUCCAUAUAAAAAAUAAAAUCAGCGAGUUUGUGUUAAAAAUUUUUACAUGAUUUUAUAUUAAAUUUUCAAAUUAACUCAUGUGAUGUUUAGGCCAUUAGGGCCCCCUCCACAUCAAACUUUGGCUCCGUCCUUCCUCUUAUUUAAUAUGAAAAUUUUUUUUUGGCGAACUAUUUAAUAUGAAAUUGGAACGCAUGUAUAAACUAAUUAGAACAAAUAAUGUAAAAAACAACUGUCUAUCUUUUUGUUUGACAUUUCAACAUUUAGUACAUCCUUCUCAAACGAAAAAAAAAAAAAGAGAAAAGAAGAAAACCAUAGAUAUCGGUCAAAAUUACUCACAGAAAUUUGUUGGAAGUUAUUGCCCUAGCAAAUUCUUCACUCUAGCAAUUAUUUCUUCUAUCUCACUUAAAAUGUCAUUUGUUAGCCGUCCAAAUAAAAGGAAAAGGGAGAAGCAGCAGAUCAGUUGUUCGAAAAAAACUGUACAAAUCAAGCAUCCUGGUAUAUAUGGUGUGAUUAAUUAUUGUUAUAUAUAUAAUUUAUAAAAUAAGAAGUUUAUUUAUAGUUUUAAACAUUCUUUUGUCUGUCCAAGCAGAAAGCAAAAGAAACUCUUCGGGUUAAGACGAUGAAAACUGGAUUGGCAAAUAAGAUACAGGAGAAAAGGGUCAUGGCUGAGUCACUUAAGGCAACCAUAAAAGAUGCAGCAGAAACUGAAACAGAAUAUAGGUUACUGAAAAUGAGAAGGAAUGAGCUGAGGGGUGAGCUGAUUAGUGGAAUCAAAGGCUUUGUGAGAUUGCGGGCAACGGAGAUGUUGCUGAUGGAG